rnacentral:lncRNA from 1 species
UCAGAUCAGGUAGUGUAUAUGGUUAAAGUUGUGGUCUUUCAUUCUCAAUUCAUGUAACAAGGGGAGAAGCAGCAGCUGGCCUCGGAUAAGACGUAGUUUUUCUUCUUGAAGCUUCAUCGGUGCUGGUUCUGUGAUGCUUCCUUUGUGUUGUUUCGCGUUUGAGACUGCCUUCUUCGUUUAAGUUCUGAAGUUGCUCCAAUGCCUUAACGACCUCGGGCAUUUUAGGCCUGAAUUUGGGGUCUAAUGCCAGGCAUUUGACUGCAAGAAGUGCUGCUUUCAGUGCUGCUUCCACUGAGUAUUGACCUUCUAUACGGUGAUCCAUAAUACGGAGGACUUUCCGUUUACUAGUAAGGAAAGGCUUAGCCCAUUCGAUUAGAUUAUGUUCCCCAUGAGGACGGUUUUUGUCAACCACUCGACGGCCUGUCAGCAUUUCUAGAAGAACCACACCGAAACUGUAUACGUCACUUCUGGCGGUUAGAUGGCCUACACAGGUGACGCGACAAUCAGAAAGUGGAGAAAAAUUUCACUCCGGGAAAUCAGAGUAGAAAAAGGUAUACUAGCUAAUUCACUAAAAAUCAGACUACUAAAAAGCGAAUCCCGGUGCACCAAAGCUCCCGCUAUGCGCGAGGUCCCGGGAAGGGCCGGACCACAAGGGUCUAUUGUACGCAGCCUUACCCUGCAUUUCAGCAAGAGACUGUUUCCGCGCUUGACCCCGUGAAGAAUAGACUACUCAUCAACUGAAAUUGUAACUUCUGAACCAAAACAUUUCACUGGGAAAGGCAUUAAAGAGAUAUCAGAGCAACGACAGACAGGGAAAGUUUCAGAACCGACGUUGCUCUUUCAAUUCGGAUGGAUAAGAUAGUAGCCCUAAUAGGAGACAUUAGGGCCAAUGAAUAUGCUAUUUAUCCAUUAUUUUAGUAGACAAAGCUAUCCAUCUUGGAUAUGCGUAAAUGGAUUAAACUUGAUCGGAUUGGAUUUUGUGGAAUAGGGGUAUAGAAGAAAACAAAUAGCAUUACACUUCCAAUUUCUUUCAAAACGCAUAGUAUUGACCUUCUCGAGUAUGAAAGACUUACACCAUAGAUAAACAGAGGACUAUCAAGAACUAAAGAGAGAAACAAUACCGAAAUAUAUCUAUGUUCACACUCAGAUGGAAACAAAUUUGGGUGAAUACGGCUGUGUCUGGACAGAAACAGUUGGACUAGUAAACUGAAAGUAUAACAACAAAAAAAAAAACAACGGUGCAAUCCCACAAGUGGGGUUUGAAGAGGGUGGUGUGUUCGCAGCCUUACCCCUAACUAGCAAAGGUAGAGAGGCUCGGCUCAAGUAAAGCACAACAACAAUCAGAAGGAGUAAAUUGAAAAUGAAUAAACUAAAUUUAUAAGAGGAUAUAUUACCUGUGGCCAUAUACUCGGGAGCAGCAUAACCAAAGGUACCCAUUACUCUAGUAGAUACAUGGCUUUUACCGUCGAUUGGCCCAUCCUUUGCCAAUCCAAAAUCAGAAAGCUUCGCAUUGUAAUUCUGUCAAUUCAUGGCAUUCACAGAUUGUAAGAAGACUACAUAAACAUUCUUAAACCUUUAAAGAGUAAAUUCCAAAGUUGUUUCACAUACAGCAUCAAGCAAAAUGUUCGAUGAUUUGAAAUCCCGAUAUAUAACUUUAGCUUCUGGGCUGUGGAGAUAAGUCAGUCCAUUGGCUGCCUCGAGAGCAACCUUCAUUCGGAGAUUCCAUGAUAGCGGUUGGAAAUAAGUACUCCCUGUUCAAGAUGUACCAAGUAUAAGUCAUGACAUUAUAUGAAUGAUAUUAAUAGAUGUCCUCGAAUCAAAUGCAGAUCCAACAUUAGAAGUUUAUGGGCUCCUAUAACGAUUUCAAGUUCGUGUAUAAUAAUAACUGAGUUCACAGUAAAAAUAUCUAUAAAUAUGUAAAUCCACCCCGGAAUCAAAUAUGGAACAGUGGUUUUAGACGAGCUAUACUCACUUCUGAAUAGAUGAUUUUCCAAACUUCCUCUCGGCAUGAACUCAUACACCAAAAGCCUGUGUUCGUCUUCUAAGCAAUAUCCGAUCAACUUCACAAGAUUCGGAUGAGAUAGCUGACCUAGGUAAGUGAUUUCCGCCUGUAAUUGAAAUUCACCGAGAAAACAAUUAAUCAACUAAUCAAAAAUUAAGAAUUAUAGGAAACACCAUCAGCUAACUACAUUAAAGCUAAAUGAUCUUAUCUUCAGCAUUCCGCUAUGCCAACCAUUAAUCAACUUAUCAAGAUCGAGAGUUAUAUGAAACAUGAUCAAGCUAACCACAUUACAGCUAAAUGAUCUUACUGUUAACAAUUCUGCUAUGUCAACAAUUAAUCAACUUAUCAUGAUCGAGAGUUAUACGAAAUGUGAUAAGCUAACUACAUUACGGCUAAAUGAUCUUAUCUUCAAUACUUCCGUUAUGUCAACAAUUAAUCAACUUAUCAAGAUCGAGAGUUCUAUGAAACGUGAUCAGCCAGUUACAUUACGGCUAAAUGAUCAAAUCCUUAACAAUUCCGCUAUGUCUUUAAUUUAAUAAUAACGAAGGAAGAGUUUAUAUACCAGCCAUUCCUUGUGACCUUGAAAGCCCUCUUGGUUCAAUCUCUUUACAGCUAUAACCAAUCCAGUCCCUGGCCUUGCAGCUUUAAAUGUAGUCUCGUCUAUCCAACCCUUAAAGACGCAACCAAAACCGCCUUCUCCCAACACACUAUCUGGUCGGAAGUUCCUCGUGGCUACUCGGAGUUCAUUGAAACUAAAGCUUUUCAGAUUCGACGACUCCAGAAUUUCACUCUGACUUCGAGGAGUCAACGGAGCCGAUGAAUAUGAAUGCCUACUACUCAACUCUCUUCCAUCACUUGCUCCUGUUAACAAAAAAAUGGUUACUUAUCUCCAAUAAUAUAUCAUGGCAUUGAUAGAAUUAAUCAAAAUUUAGAAUCUUGAACAUAGUAAUUGUCUACGAGAAUGUUGAAUUAUGAUAGCAGCAGCCUAAGCAAAAUGUAUCCUAUAUGUUGCUCGGACUAUAGAAAAAUGUACUACUUUUGGAGGAACCGACACACAGUCAAUUAACAAUUUUGAAGAGUCCGAGCAACAUAGGUGGUAUCCGAGCUAGCUCACGCAGCUCUAGUUCCACAAGACACAUUCUAACUCCCUCUCACUAGCACACAUUCUACCUCCCUCUCACUAGCACAAGUACCAAGUAAUCUCAUAACAGUCUGGAAAAAUAUCUUAGUAUAAAAAUAUUGCCUCUAUACAGAGCCACAAAAUCCAGAUAUAACCCAGAAAUAGAGACCACUGUUGGCAUUUGGUCAUAGAUUUUCGAACAUUUAUCUUCAAAUAUAUGUUUGACUAUGAAAUUUGAUCAAAUUUUCUUUCAAAAUCUGAUCUUCAAAUAUUAUCAAAUUUCUAAAAGAGGCCUCAAGUUUUUUUUCACUCACAAAAAUUCAAAUUCUUUUUCAAAGUAAAAUGCAUGUCCAAACACAACUUUGAAAACUCAAAUUUUCAAGUUUCAAGUCAAAAUCUAUGAUCAAACGGGAGCUAAAAUGGAAAGAAAAUUCAAGCUGAUUAUAGCUAGAUAACUUUACAAAAAAACACAUAAUUAUCCAAAAACAACAUCAAAUAAAAAAAUCUAAACUUUACCAAUUUCCAGCAAGUCUCUAAACAUUUGUCAGCCCUCUGCACUAAGCUCUACUUAUACAUGGAAUCCAAGAAAGGCCAGACAAAAAGGACAACAAUUUUAUCAGCUACACCGACCCAUCUCAACUAAAUGAAUCUAAAAGUACAAUCUGACACACUAAUCUCCUGCUAUGCACGGGAUUCGAGGAAAGUCCGAACCACAAUAGUCUAAAACUCCUAACUUACUAAUAACAUGUCAACAAUUUUAUCAGCUACACUGACCCUUCAUCUCAGCAAAUCAAAUCAAGAAAAGACAUUUCGGUACACUAAGCUCCCGCUAUACACAACUUUCAAGAAAGUAACACCUGUCAACAAUUUUACAACCUACACCAACCCAUCUCAACUAACUGAAUCUAAAAGUACAAUCUGACACACUAAUCUCCUGCUGUGCACGGGAUUCGAGUAAAGUCCGGACCACAAUAGUCUCUAACUCGUAACUUUCUAAUCACAUGUCGACAAUUUUAUCAGCUACUCUGACCCUUCAUCUCAGCAAAUCAAAUCAAGAAAAGACAUUUCGGUACACUAAGCUCACGCUAUACACAACUUUCAAGAAAGUAAUAGACACAUGUCAACAAUUUUACAACCUACACCAACCCAUCUCAACUAACUGAAUCUAAAAGUACAAUCUGACACACUAAUCUCCUGCUGUGCACGGGAUUCGAGUAAAGUCCAGACCACAAUAGUCUCAAACUCGUAACUUUCUAAUCAUAUAUCAACAAUUUUAUCAGCUACCCUGACCCUUCAUCUCAACUAAUCGAAUCCCGCUAUACACAACUUUCAAGAAAGUAACAGACACCUGUCAACAAUUUAACAACCUACACCAACCCAUCUCAACUAACUGAAUCUAAAAGUACAAUCUGACACACUAAUCUCCUGUUGUGCACGGGAUUUGAGGAAAGUCCAGACCACGAUAGUCUCAAACACGUAACUUUCUAAUCACAUGCCAAACAAUUUUAGCAGCUACACUAACCCUUCAUCUCAACUAAUCAAAUCAAAAAGGAUAACCUAGUACACUAAGCUCCCACUAUACCAAAACUUUCUGGAAAGUAACACACAAAAAGGACACCCCGAGCUCUGUACACAUCUUUCAAGAAAGUAACAAACACAUGUCAAACAAUUUUACCACCUAUAUCAAUCUUUCCUCUUAGCUAAUCAAAUCAAAAAAAGACAAUUCAAUACACUAAAGCUUUCGUUAUGCACGUGUUUCAAGAAAAUGCCAGUUGCACCAAUCAUUCCUCUCAACUCACUGAAUCAAUUACAUAAAAAAAAAAAAAAAUUGUUACCAGCAUGAAGAGGACUCUCAGCUUUAAUUCUAACACUAAAACAAGAACCCAUUAAAUAUAAGAACCAAAGUUUCUUCUUCUUCUUCUUAGAGAGAAAAAUAAAAAGGCUAAUAAGUGAACAGUGAUUGAUUUUGGUUCUUUGAGUUUACAUCAUAUAUAAACUCUUUUAAAGGGAAACUUAUAAAAAGCCAAAAUAGAUAAGUGUGAACAAAAGGAAAUGAAGUGUAUAUAUAUGUUUGAAAAAAAUAUUGUCACUUUGUUUGGUUGGCUUUCACAAGAAUCUCUUGUGAAAAAAGCUUUUGCAAAGGCAAUAAAUCUACAAAAGGUUACUUUGACCUUUCCUCUUGUCUAGACAAUGUGAUUUAUUUUUUAUGAAAAUUGCUUUUUCAUAUAUAUAUAUAUAUAUAAUAUUUACAAUUUGUGUCCAUAGGAUAAAAUGAAAAAAAAAAAGAUCCUUUAUGUUUUGAUUUAUGUGUGAGAUAGUCCCUUGAAUAUUAUUAUUGAGCUAUUUUGAUCCUCUUUUAAGUAUCAAAAGUGAUGAUAUUUAAUAGUUUCUUCGUUCUAAUUUAACUGGAUAUGAAAUUUAAAAAAAAGAUACUACCCUAUCACCCUCUGAACUAUACCCAAAACGACAGAGACAUACCUAACUUAAAGGGGGUCCUAUUACCCCUGAAUUAAUUAAAAGUGUAAUUUUGUCACUCUUAGUGCCUACGUGGCACAACACACUGAAGUGUCCACGUAGGCACACGUGUGUGCCACGUAUGUGUCACGGAGGCACUAAGGAUGUCAAAAUUACACUUCUAAUUAGUUCAGGAGUAAUAGGAUCCCCUUUAAGUUGAGGUGUGUGUGUGUCACAGCUGUUUUGAGUAUAGUUCAAAAGGUAAUAGGGUAUUUUCUCUUUAAAAAAUAACCGAAGACUUUGUAAUGUUUCAAGGUUUUUGUAAAUUUUUUGUCAAAUGAGUAAACCCGUGUGGGUAAGAAGUUGGUAGUGUCUUAAAUAUUUAUCAAAUAAGAAAAUAUAUUAUUUUUUUAGACUAACUAAAAAAAAUAAAGUAUGUAAUUUAAUCGAGAUUUGUCAAAUUAGGUUUACGAUCUAACUCACGCCUAAAAUUUAACUCAAAAGGAAGAGGAUUGUUCAAGGCUUAUAAGAAGUCGAGGAUUUCAUUCAUUCAUUGAUGUGGGACAUUUCAUUUCAUUCAUCACACUCCCUCAUGUUCGGAUCUGGGCAAUAUGUAUCCAAAUUUAACGGUCCAACCCAAUGCUGGCACAUUUAUAGAAGGGGUAUUUUCACUCUCUACAAAUGUCAGAUUUUUCAGAAUGAGAGCUCGGGAGUAAAUGAUAAAGUCGUUGUUAUGUGAUCAGAAAGUCACGGAUUCAAACUUGGAAAUAGUCUCUGACAGAAAUGCAAAGUAAGGUUGCGUAAAAUACAUCCUUGUGGUAAGUCCUUUCCCAAAUUCUGCAUAUAGCGGAGAGCUUUAGUGUACUGGGAUGUAGGAAUGUGUAAAAAUUAAACCGACCGAUAAAAAUGUUGUUGGUUUAUUGUUAUUGGAUUAACAAUUUUUUAAUGGUUUUAUGAAAAAUAAUUAUUGGGUUAUUGAUUCGGUUUGAUUUUUUCUUAUUGGGUUAUCGACUAUAUAUAUAUAUAUAUAUAUAUAUAUAUGAGACUUAUUAUAUAUUUUUGAGAAAAUGAUCAAAUACCUCCAAACCUUUAUCCCAAAUCCAACUACACACUUAUACUUUGAGAAGGUCCUAUGACCUCCCUGAACUAUUUUAAAAUAAAAUUAUUACCCCUCCAACGCUGACAUGGCAAGAGAAUAUUUUAUUAAAAAUUUAUUUUUAAUAUUUUUUUAAAUAAAUAUAUAUAAUUUUAAUUAUUGUUUUCUUUCUUCUUAUUUUUCUUCUCCCUUCAUUCUUCUUCUUCUUUAAUUCUUCUUAUUCUUUAAUGGCAUCCAAGAAUGACAAUUAAUUUUUUUUUCUCUUCUUCUUCCUCCUCCUCCUCCUCCUCCUCCUCCUUCUUCUUCUUCUUCAAUGACAUCAAAAAAUCCAUCAAUGACAAUUAAAUUUUGCAAUUAAAUUAUUCUUCUUCUUCUUCUUCUUCUUCUUCUUCUCCCUCUUUUUCUUCUUCUUCAAUAGCAUCCAAGAACUCAUCAAUGACAAUUAAUUUUUUUUUCUUCUUCUUCAAUGGCAUCCAAGAACCCAUCAAUGACAAUUAAUUUUUUUUUUCUUCAAUAGUAUCCAAGAACUCAUUAAUGACAUUUCUUUUUAUUUUCUUCUUCUUCAAUGGUAUCCAAGAACUCGAAUUACGUGCGAGUGUUGCAUCAAUUCAGAUUGAAAAAUAAAGUCAUUGGAAUAUUGAAUUUUUCGGCCCCAUCACUAUCGCGGCGCCAUCACUGUCGCGACGCCAUUUUGUGAAAAUUGAAUAUUUUUUGGACAUUAAUUAUUGAUUUGAUUUUGAUAAGAUUACAUAUCGUGUGAAUUUCAUAUGAUUCAUUAUGUCAUUGAAGAAAAAAAGAAUAGCAGAAGAGAAGAAGAAGAAGAAGAAGAAGAAGAUGAUGAUGAUGAUGAUGAUGAUGAUGUGGCAUAUCGUGGAAUUAAUUAUCUUUAGUAAAAAAUGAUAUAUGACGUGGAAUUACGUGGCAUGACACGUGCGAGCACGUGUAGACCACAAAUCAAAAUAAAAUUUGUGUAUGAGUUUUUAAAGGGUUAUAAUUCCACUUUGAAAUAGUUGGGGGAUAAUAAUUUCAUUUUAAAAUAGUUCAGAGGAGUCAUAGGACCCUCUUAAAGUAUAAGUGUGUAGUUGGGAUUUGGGGUAAAGGUUGGGGGGUAUUUGACCAUUUUCUCUAUAUUUCUCUUUAAUCUCUAUAAAUUAACAAACUUAUUAUUUCAAUUACAAAAACUCUUAAUUUCUUUUAACAACAUUUAGUUCAAACUUGAAAAAUCUUGUAAAUUAAAACACAUUAUUUAGGAUUUUUGUUUGCAACUAAAAUUCAAUUUUUUUCAUGUUAGUUACUACUAUUUCUAUUUUAUGAGUAUUUUUUUAUCGAUUAAACCGAAAAUCGAACCGUUAAGGGCUAAAAACUGAUAAAAACUAUUGAGCUAUUUUGGUCCUCUUUUAAGUAUCAAAAGUGAUGAUAUUUAAUACUUUCUUCGUUCUAAUUUAUGUGAUAUUAGUUUAACUGUAUAUAAAAUUUAAAAAAGAGAUACUACCCUAUUACCCCCUAAACUAUACCCAAAACGGCAGAGACACACCUCAACUUAAAGGGGGUCCUAUUACCCCUGAACUAAUUAAAAGUGUAAUUUUUACACCCUUAGUGCCUCCGUGGAACAUACGUGACACACACGUGUGCCUACGUGAACACUUCAAUGUGUUGUGUCAUGUAGGCACUAAGGGUGUCAAAAUUACACUUUUAAUUAGUUCAGGGGGUAAUAGGAUCCCCUUUAAAUUGAGGUGUGUCACAACCGUUUUGGGUAUAGCUCAGGGGGGUAAUAGGGUAUUUUCUCUUUAAAAAAUAAGUGAAGACUGUAAUGUUUCAAGGUUUUUGUAGAUUUUUUGACAAAUGGGUGAACCCGUGUGGGUAAGAAGUUGGUAGUGUCUUAAAUAUUUAUCAAAUAAGAAAAUGUCUUUUUUUUUAGACUGACUAAAAAAAAUAAAGUAUGUAAUUUAAUUGAAAUUUGUCAAAUUAGACUUACGACCUAGCUCACGCCCAAAAUUUAACUCAAAAGGAGAAGAUUGUUCAAUCCUUAUAAGAAGUCUAGGAUUUCAUUUAUUCAGUGUUGUGGGACAUUUCAUGUCAUUUAUCACACUCCCUCAUGUUCGGAUCUGGGCAAUAUGCAUCCAAAUUUGACGGUCCAACCUAAUGCAGGCACAUUUAUAGACGGGGUAUUUUCACUCUCUACAAAUGUCAAAUUUUUCAGAAUGAGAGCUCAGGAGUAAGUGAUAAAGUCGUUGUCAUGUGAUCAGAAAGUCACGAAUUCAAGCUUGGAAAUAGCCUCUGAUAGAAAUGCAAAGUAAGGUUGCGUAAAAUACAUCCUUGUGGUAAGUCCUUUCCUAAAUUCUGCACAUAGCAGAGAGCUUUAGGGGUCGUUUGGUAGAGUGUAUUGGCAAAAAUAAUGCAUGUAUUAAUUAAUGUGUAUUAUGAAUACCUUGUUUGAUACAAUUUUUAAUCAAUGUAUAACUAAUGCAAGCAUUAGUUAUACACUCUAUUGUGUACUAAGGUUAAUAUUAUUAAUACCACUCAUUUUUUAUGUAUUAGUAAUGCAAAGUCUUUAAUACAUGCAUUAACUUAUUAAAUGACCUUAAUACCCCUCAAUUUUUUUCUCAAAAUAUUUUACCAUUCCUUUUCCCGUUAUUUUAUUUUGCAAUAGUAAAUUUUUUCAAAACAUUUUACAAUUUUUUUUCCACCAUUUUAAUCUACAACAAUGAAUAACUGAUUUAAAUAAUUGUAACAUAUUUUUGCUUUGUUUCAAGGGUCUUUAAAAAGAUUAAAAAUAAUUGAGACUAUUUCUUAAUUUUACGUUAUAUAUUUUAUUUUUGUUUAGACUAUGUUAAUCCGUUGACAUAAUAUUUCAUGCGCAAAGACGAAGGUCUUGCAAUUAAUCUGAAACCUUUAUAUACUAGUUUAACAAUACUAAUUAUAUUUGAGAUGGCAAAAAUAUUUUGUUGCAAAAAUGUGUACAAAAUCAAAGAAGGGUAUUUUUGUAAACAAACAUUUCUUUUAUAGAAAUUUUGUAAGAUGUAUUAUUUCUUAUACAUCAAACCAAACAAUAUAUAAGAAAUAAUACAUGCAUAACUAAUAUAAGCAUAAGUAAUACAAGCAUUACUAAUACACUAUAUUUUGCAUUGAUCUUAUACACUCUACCAAACAACCCCUUAGUGUAUCGGGAUGCAGGGAUGUGUAAAAAUUAAACUGAUAAAAAUGUUAUUGGUUUAUUGUUAUUGGGUUAACGAUUUUUUAAUGGUUUUAUAAAAAAUAAUUAUUAGGUUAUUGAUUUGGUUCAAUUUUUUCUUAUUGGGUUAUUGGGUAGACCGAUAACCAAUUAGACUGUAUGUAUAUAUAUAUAUAUAUAUAUAUACGAGACUUAUUAUAUAUUUCUCUUUAAUCUCUAUAAAUUAACAAACCUAUUAUUUCAAUUAUACAAACUCUUAAUUUCUCUUAACAACAUUUAGUUCAAACUUGAAAAUUCUUGUAAAUUAAAAUACAUUAUUUAGGAUUUUUUUUGCAAUUAAAAUUCAAUUUUUUUCAUGUUAGUUACUAUUAUUUCUAUUUUAUGAGUAUUUUCUUAUCGGUUAAAUAAAAAAUCGAACCGUUAAGGGAUAAAAACUGAUAAAAAAUAUCUUAUUAGUUUGGCUAUUGGUUUAACAUAUUUAUAAAUCAAAAAUCGAUAAACAAAACCGAUAAUAUGUAAAACUGAACUGAUCAAUGCACACUCCUACCAAGAUGUCCUUUUUUUACAAAUAUCGAAUUUUCUAGAGGCCACAUUAGGCCUGAUUCUAAUAGCAUAUCAAAUUAAGUUUUUAACCUAAUUCACACUCCAAAAAUUAAUUCAAAGGGAAGGAUUGUCUAAAUUUUAUAACCAAUUUAGGAUUUCAUUCAUUUACUUAUAAAGUUUAAUUAUAAGGUGUCAUUUUGAACUAAUCUCCAAGUACAAGGGACUAUAUGUUGUUAUUUUUAUUUAUUUAUUUAUUUUUCUAGAAAAAGAGUGAAAAGGCAAAUAGUAAAUGGAGUGUAGGGACUAACUAGCUUUUAUUUAGAGCUUUUAAUUUAAAGCUUAUCUUUUAUUGAGUGUGGAGGUUUCUUUAUCAUUUGGCUGCUGGCGCAGUGCAACUUGUUGUAUAACAAGACAAUUAUGUGCAUUUAUUGCAACCAUUUUCAUCCAUUGGAUAAACAUCAAUAACUUCCAAAAUAAUCAGAUCAAUAAUAAUUUUUAAUUGAUAAAGUUGUCCAGCUUUGGAGUCAUUUGGAGCUAGGUGUUGAACCUUCUCGAUGAAAAUUAUACUAUUUAUAUAAGAUUGAGCUUACUUUUUAUGUAUAUAUAUAUUGUAGAUAUCGAGCCCUCUUCGAUUAAUUUGAGUAUGUACUUCUUUAUAAUUUUGAACCCGUCAUGGCGCUAUAACUGCAAAACGUCACAGCUUCAAGUCAUCCAAAUAACUUAUGAUGGAAAUAUAAGAUAAGAUUGUGUACAACGCACUUUUAUGGUUUGAUCUUAUUUCGAAUCUUAUGCAUAACGAAGGCCUUGAUACGUGGAAUUAUCUAUUUGGAAAUUAGAGUUGUAUGAUUGUAGAUAUAAAUUGAAAUUACUAUUUUUUAUUUUUUAUGAUCAAUUUAAAGUGAGGAAAAAAAACUUUUGAUAUUUUAAGGUAAAUUUUGGAAAAUUUUCAGAAUUUUAUUGUAAAUCACGACUUCUAAGAUUCAACUUCAAAAGAAAUUAAAAAAAAAUAAAAAUUAUGAUCAAAAUAAUAUUUUCUUCCAUUGGCAUUUUUUUAUUUUUAUUUUAGUGUAUUAGUUUUAAUCAAAGUUAUCUAUCUAAUCGUGACAAUUCAUAAAUUUAUGUCCGUCCAUACUUUAUGCAUUCAGCAAUUAAAAUUCGUUGAUUUAUAAUUAGCACAAGUUCUUACGAGAUAAAGUGCAUAAUUUAUUAAAAGUUCUUUAUCUUUAGACAUUUAAAGCGUGACUUAGUGAUCGAUAAAAUAUGUUGAGGAUUUUGAAGUUUCAAGUUCAUAUUUAAGUAAAACUAAUAAUAUUAGUAGAUAAGUUGGAUAUGUAUGAAUCGAUUCCAAUAUCAUAAUUGUCACAAGAAAAAAAGUUUUUCUCGUUAGAACUUAGUCCUCUAGUGAAAAGACGAAAAUGAGCUUAAGAGCAAGAUAUCGAGACUCAUCCAUCAAACAAGAACGAAAGUUAAUACAAAUGAUAUGAUGGUGUCGAAAGCCAUCCAUCAAGCAAAAAUGAAAGUUAAUAUAGAUGAUACGAUGGUGUCGAAAGUCAUCCAUCAAGCAGGAACGAAAGUUAAUAUAGAUGAUACGAUGGUGUCGAAAGUCAUCCAUCAAGCAGGAACGAAAGUUAAUAUAGAUGAUACGAUGGUGUCGAAAGUCAUCCAUAAAGCAGAAACGAAAGUUAAUACAGAUACGAUGAUGUCGAAAGCCAUUCAUAAAGCAAGAACGAAAGUUAAUAUAGAUGAUACGAUAUAUGGUAUUGAAAGUCAUUCAUAAAGCAGGAACAAAAGUUAAUAUAGAUGAUAUGAUGGUGUCGAAAGUCACCCAUAAAGCAAGAAGGAAAGUUAAUAUAGAUGAUACGAUGGUGUCGAAAGCCAUCCAUCAAGCAGGAAAGAAAGUUAAUACAUAUGAUACGAUGGUAAGUCAUCCAUAAAGCAGGAACGAAAGUUAAUAUAGAUGAUACAAUGGUGUCGAAAGCCAUCCAUCAAGCAGGAACGAAAGUUAAUAUAGAUGAUACGAUGGUGUCAAAAGUCAUCCAUCAAGCAGGAACGAAAGUUAAUAUAGAUGAAAGUUAAUACAGAUGAUACGAUGGUGUCGAAAGCCAUCCAUAAAGCAGGAAGGAAAGCUAAUAUAGAUUAUACAAUACUGUCAAAAGAAUGGCUCCUCACUUAAAGAAAAAAGAAUUAUUUUACGAUCAUAACAACAUCUUCGAUAUAUUUUUCUAAGUGUGAUUCGAAAGAGUCAGAGUAUGCAAUCCGUACCUUUCUCUUAAAGGUGAGAUAGAGAUAUUAUUUUCAAUAGAUCUCUCGACUCGAAUAUAAUUACUAUAUGAAUAACAUAUUAAUCUCUCCUAAGGGCUAGCAUAUACAACAACAACACACCCAGUAUAUUCCCAUAGAGUGGGAUCUGAAGUAUGGCUGUCAAGUGGGUCGGGCCGACCCACUUAAAUAAACCAGCCUGAUUUGACCAGGCCUGGUAAGCCCUAGGACUUUAGAGUUCUGGGUCCCGGGCCGGUUAUUUUUUUAAUUUGGACCCAUUUAACCCGGCCCGGACCUAGCCCGAUCCAGGCCCGCCGGUUAACCGGCCCGGCCUGAAAUCCUUUUUAAAAAAAAAUAAAAAAAAUUAUAUAAAUUAGUAUAUAACUAUACAAAUAUAUAUUGUAAUGUAUAUAUAUUAUAGUAUAUUUAAUUUAAAGUAUUACAUAUAAAUAGAAUAGAGUGUAUAUAAGUGAAUAGAUCUUCUAUAGACGUGUAUAUUUAACGUAUACAUGCAUAUAUAUUUUAUAAAUUAGUAUAUAACUAUACAAAUAUAUAUUGUAAUGUAUAUAUAUUGUAGUAUAUNNNNNNNNNNNNNNNNNNNNNAUAUGUUUUAUAAAUUAAUAUAUAACUAUACAAAUAUAUAUUGUAAUGUUUAUAUAUUAUAGUAUAUUUCAUUUAAAGUAUUACAUAUACAUAGAUUAGAGUGUAUAUAUGUGAAUAGAUCUUCUAUAUACGUGUAUAUUUAACGUAUACAUGUGUGUAUAUAUAUUUUAUUUAAACUUUAAAGUUUAAAGUAGUACAUAUAUAUUUGGAUGGUGCGUAUAUAUGUGUAAUUGUGUAUAUGUGUAUAUAUUUUUUAAAUUCUAAUGUAGUAUAUACUAUAUAUAUAGUGUAUAUAUAUUGUUUAACGUAUUUAUAAUGUAUAUAGGUGGGUAUAUAUAAUGUAUAUUGAAAAAAAGUUUUUUUUUUAUAUUUUUGACAGGGUUUGACCGGGUUGGGUAAAAUGAGCCGGGUUAGGGUGGUUUUUGAUUUUUUACUGUUGGGCCCGACCCAGCCCACUUAGACCCCAACUCGGACCCGGCUCGGCCCUCAACCCGGUUAAAUAACACGGGUCGGUUCCGGGUUGGUCCGAACCGGCCCACUUGACAGCCAUAAUCUGAAGAGGGUAAAAUGUACGCAAUUCAUAUUAUCAUCUCAGAUAAAAUAGAGAGGCUGAUUUUGAUAGUCUCCCGACUCAAAACAAAUAACAAAUAAGGACUAGCUUAUAUCGCCAGAAAAAUUUGCCACCUCGAUAUCGAUUCUUUUAGCUAUUAGAUAAUUUUGAAAUAUUUAAUUAAAUUUAUUAAAGUAUAUUAUUACUAUAUUUAUGUUGUGAAUUGGUGAAGGGAUGUUGGUUAGGUGCUUGAAGUCAAUUGGUUGGAAGUAAGGUAGCACCAUUAAUGUUAUUUUACUCCAUGUGUAAAGCUUUGGAGAUACAAAAAAACAAUAAAAUUGUCUUUACAUGUUAGUUGGGGUAAUGUGUAAUUGCAUAUUUAUUUUCUUUUAAAUUAAUUAAAUUUAAUUAAUUUAAUUAAUAUAAAGAAAGGGGAAGCAGACAACACACUUUUUCCACUACGUAAGACUUACAUAAGUAUAACGUAAUAAAGCAAUUUUAUGUAAUAAGAAAAGACUUAGUAAUAUUUACCAAAUUUUCCUUUGUCAAAAAAUGUGCUACUAUUUUUUUUUAAUUAAGUGAAAUCAAUAAGGAUAAAAAUAGAAUUGCGUCUUUAAAUAGUUAUCAAAUAAGAAAAGAUGAUAUUUUUUUGGGGACGGACUAAAAAAAAUCACGACACAUAAAAUGAAACGAAGUGAGUAAUUCUUAUUUGGCCAUAAAAAAAUCAAAUAUAACUUGAGAAAUUAUAUUUAAAAUUUUGAAAAACACCGCAAGAGUAGUAUCAACUCUUUUUUAAAAAAAUAUAUUAUUUUUAAUUUUAUAAAAUAGUUUCAUUAAAUUAUAUUAUAUGCUGAAAAAAAAAUUUAAAAUAAUUUAUUAAAAUUCUAAAUGUUAAAUUUACUAUGAUCAAACAUAACUUCAUCUUUAAUGGUAAUCUUAAUUUAAAUUUUUUUUUAAAAAUAAAUAUAUUUAAAAUUUUCAUGGCGAAUUGCACUCUUAAUUCGCAAGUUCUCUAGAAGACCCAAAUAAAAAAAAAAGUAUAUAACGACAAUUGACAACCAAGAAAUAUUACUAAUAGUCAAUGCCACUUUUAUAUUGUUUCUUUUUUCUUCUUUUUUUCAUCUCUUUCUUCUUCUUUUUUCUCACUCCCUCAAUAAUUUAAAUAUAAAACUUUAAAAAAAAAUUUAGGUAUAUUUUAAAUACUCUACUCAAAACUUAAUUAGAGAUUGUAAUUUAAAAAAAAAAAUCCUGUUAGAAGUAUUUCUUUCAAACAUGUAUUAGUACAACCUAUAAAUUCAAAUAUAUUUAAAUUUCAAUGUAAAUAUAAAUAUCAAAUAAAAAAAAUGGGAUAAAUAUACUUUUGAAUUUUAUUAUUUAAUUGUCCAUGUGCAUGAAUCGUCGAAAAGGUCAGUCAACUGAACUGGCCAAAAAAGAAGAAAAUUCAUGAGCAAUUUGCCAAACUAGACAACAAAAGUUCAAAUAACUAGGCUGAUGGGGACUUACAAGUCUCUCAACAAUAAACAAAUUACUCCGUUGGUUUCAUUUUAAUUGAUCAUCUUACUAAAAAUAAAUAUUUCAUAUUAAUUGAUGACCUAUUAAAUCAAGAUAAAGUUAAUUAUAUUUUUUUUCAUUUUACCCUUAUAAAUAAAAUAACAUAUGAAUAAUUAUAAUUCUAAUUUUCAUUCUUAUGUCUAAUGAAUAUUAUUAAUAUGAAUAAAGAGUAAAAUAAUAACACAUUCAAUUUAUGAUUUCUGAUGUACCACUCAUGUUCAGUAUCUACACUAGAGUCUUAACUAAUUCAAAUUAUACACUGCAAGAUUCAUUUCUUUAAUCUUCAUUUAUUUGAUAUUGUUUGACCUUAGGUAAAAUUUAAGAAAGAAAUUUUCUUUUAGAAAUUUAUGAUUUAAAAUAUUUUUUGAUCACUUAUAUGACUAUAUAUACAUUAUUUCAUUAACAAAAAAAAUUGUUUAUCGUUACAAUUUUCACAGCCAAAAAACAUUGAAUGUAUGUUAAAUCUAUAUGUUAUUUGUGUUGCAAUAAAUUUAAAAAGUUAACUUAAGCUAAACUAUUUACACUUAGAUGUAGAAAUUUGUGGUUGAUUUUGAAUGUUACUUAUAAACAAAUAAAAAAAAAAUGUUAGUAAUGAAGGGAACAUCUAUUCAAACUUACAUACUUUAUUUGACUUUUUUUUUUUUGCACUUAUUAAUCAAUUAAUUAAGUUAUAAGUAGACCUCAGCUAAACUAAAAUUCUAUUUAGACCAAUUAUUUAACGAUAAUGACAUGUCUGAAUGAAAUUAUUAACAUUUAUUCAACUUCAAACACUUAAAAAGAGCAUAUUUUACCCACAUAGAGUAUAAAAAGUAACAUCAUAAUAUAAUAUAAACAGAUAAACAAACCCAGAUGGUUAGUUUAAAAUUAAAAAUUCUAUCAUAAUUCAUCUCGAAAAGACUUUCUUCUCUUUGUAACCAAAGUACCAAACCACUACUUACAAUUUUAUGAGAAAAAAGGUUUGAAAUAUAUCUAAAUUUUGGCGAAAAUUAUUGUAACAUGUCUUAAUUUUGCGGGAGAUCCUAUGGCCAACCUAGAUUAUUCUUUAUUAUAUUUUUGUGACAUAUAUUUACUCAACUAGAUCACUGCAUAAAUACACGCACACUGAGCACGUAAGGGUCUGAAGUGGUUUAGCUAAGUAAAUAUAUGCCACAAAAAUAUGGUAAUGAAAUAUCUAGGACAUAUAUUACAAUAAUUUUCAUUAAAAUAUAGAGGUGGUUAUAAGAUGAUAUCAUAGAGUUCAUAUUUAUUUCUUUAAUAUUGGAACACAAAUACAUCCAAUUUUACAAUACAUAUGGAGUUGACCCUAACAAUCUCUUUGUGUCAUUCACAUGCCAAAAAAGAUCAAUUUUAGAUUUGUCGUGUGAAUCCUCUACACUCCAAUCAAAUUAUAUACACUAUAAUAUAUUUUUUGUUUUAUUCAUUUUUAUCAAUCUUAAAAAAAUGAAUUCUUGACUUUAACAUAUUGGCAGCCUAGCAAUGACAUUUCAUUUGUCUGUUUAUUAAUUUUACUCUAUUUUAUUGGAAGAAAAAAACUCUUUAUUCUAGCAGCUCAAAAAGUAACUUUAAUAUGAAGAAAAAAUUGUAAAUUUCCACAUUGCAUAAAAUGUUCUUUAACCUUAAUCUAAUUCUACCUUUUUUGUUCAUGUGGAAUAUUAAACUUAGUAGUUUAAAGGAUAGCAGCAAUUCAACAUAUAUUAUAACAAUUUUUUCACACUAAAAUUAUAUAUAUAUAGAGAGAGAAAAAAUUAAACAAGUUACAUUUAACUUUCUUACAUCCAAGAGAUAUUCAUGCAAACCUCAAAGCUUGUACUUUUUCUCGUCUCGAUUUAUAUGAUAUAAUUUGACGGUAUAUGAAGUUUAAAAGGCAUAUAAAAUUUUCGAAAUUUAUUGUCUUUAUAAAAAAUAGACAUUAGUGGACCUAUCCACGAGGCUCAAUAUUGAAAAACACAGCAACGUGGAUCGAUGAGUAUGACUCUAAUACUAUAUAAAUAAAUAAACUUCGAGUCUAACUCAAUCUCAAAGCUAAAUCACGAGAAGAAUAAUGACUCAGGUCAUGUGGAUCAUAACAAUUGUUAACACGUCAUGAAAUUUUCGUGGGAAGAUUAGUAUAUAUGUCUGUGUUAAGGAUAAAACGAGAAAUUUAAAAUUAAAUUAUUUUCAUGUAUAAAAGGAUAUUACCAUUCUUUUCAAAAUAGAUUAACAAGAAAAUAGUAUCACAUAAUCUAGAACGAAUUCUUUUACACCAUUUUAGGACCAUUUUGUGGGAAGAUUAGUAUUUUCUGUUAAGGGUAAAAUGAAAAAUUUAAAAUUAAAUUAUUUUUAUAUAUAAAAAGAUAUUAUCAUUCUUUUCAAAAUAGAUUAAUAAGAAAAUAGUGUCACAUAAUACACAACGAAGUCUUUUACACCAUUUUAGGACCAUAUAUAUAUAAACUCGUUAGUUGUCUUCUUUUAUUAGUCUACUAAGUUGAUUAGCUAUAUAUAUAUAUAUAUAUAUUUGUGAAGGGAAAUGAAGUCAACUGCCAUUUGAAUUAUCCAACACCUUUGUUGUAUGAAAAAAUGUUAACAUCAUGAAUUGACUUGGAGGUCUCAUGUACCUUGUUUUUGUGGAAUCAACUUUCCAAGAUAUUGAAAAUCUUCACUUUCAAACUAACAUUUAAUUCAUACAUUGAACAUAUAAAUUAAUGUUGGUUUGGAAAUCUAUAUAUGAUCUGUCAAUAUAUAUAUAUAAAUAAACAAUUUGCACAAAUAGCCAUCACGUGUUUGCCAAGAUAACAGAUUGACGAAUCUCUUCUAUAAGGAGGUGAAAAUGACCUAUCGUCGUAACAACAAUAAUAUAUUCAGUAUAAUAUCACGAAGUAAAUUUCAGGAAGGUUGGAUCUAUACAUACCUUAUUUCAAUAAACCUUCGUCUCAAAGAAAAGGUGGCAAAAAAUAAAAUAAAAUGACCUGUUGCCGCAUCCAAUUGAAAUGUCUUUUGAGCCGAGGGUCUAUCGGAAACAACAUGUUUAUACCUUCACAAGAUAGGAGCAACGUUCAUGUACUGUGUACAGACCACCCUCCCUCGUCUCUACUUGUAAAAUUACAUUGAGUAUAUUAUUAUUAUUGUAGUCACGGCCAAUUGAAGUCUCAUCAUCCGUAAACUCUCUAGUUUUAUAAACCUUUUUUUCGAUAUUUAUAGUUUUCUCUUUAGUUACUUUUGGAACCACUAAUCCAAUAUUUUAGGCGCAAAAUAUAUUUUAUGUAUAAAAAUUCACUAAAAUUACAAGUAGUAAUAGGUUUGAAAUCAUAAUAUUAAAAAUAUACUCUAAUAAUAGGCUUGAAAUCAUAAUAUUAAAAAUAUACUCUAAUAAAUUUAAUGAUAAAAUUAAACUAGCAGAAUUUAAAUUUUAAAUUCGUCAUUAUUUGCACCCUUCCCAUCCUGCCCAAGCCACAACUAGUCUGGUCCUAUUUCUUAUCCUAAUAAAAUUUUUUUAAAAAAAAAAAAAAAAAAAAAAAAAAAAAAAAAAAGAAUGUAGGGUAACACUAGCCAUAAACAUAAUCAUAAUAUUUUAUAUCAUAAAACUUUCCCAUCUGGUCAAUGCUUAAUACUAGCCAUAAACAUAAUACUUACAUAAUAUAUACUCCCUCAAUUUCAAUUUAUAUGAAUUAGUUUAAUUUAAUACAAAUUUAAGAAAGAAAGAAAUACUUUUAAAAUUCAUGAUCUAAAAUAAGGAGUUCGGAGCCUAAAGACAAGUUUUUUAGUCAAAAUUUCAAAAGGGCAACCCAAUACUGAAAAAUUCUAAAAGGAACAAGGUUUUAAGAAGUUAACGCCGUCAAUGCAAAUAUUAAAAUAUAAAGUAAAAUGGUGAGUUUUUCUUAUAAGGUGAAUUUAUUUGAAAUGCAUUGCAUUACAAGGUAAGCUCUGUCCCUUAUCAUACAAGAUAAACUGUGUCCCUUACCUUACAAGGUAAACUGUGUCCCUUACCUUAUUAAUUUUCUUUUAUAUACCACCCAUUCAUUUCAUUCAUUUUUUCACUUCACUCUCUUCAUCUAUAUUAAUUGUGUUUAUUUUUGCUCAAAGUCUAUUUUAUGAAAAAAAAUUCACUUUAAGGUAUACUUUAAUCAUUGUUUAACAUUUUUCAAUCCCUAACAAACAAGUAUGCAGCAUAAUAUUAUUAAUCAUUUUUGUAGCUUACUAAUUUAUCAAAUAUUGUUGUUACCAUAUCAACUUAUUAAGCCUAAACCUACGUUAAGUUAGUAUUGUCAUGCAUGAAAGUUUGUCCUUUAGUUGUAUGCUCAAAACUAAUUUUAAUCUUCUUUCUGUAUAGAUAUGGAAUAUCAACACUUUGUGCAUCCAGGACCAUCACAGUAUGACGUAUAUGCCAUGCAAAAUAAGCAUCGGUCUGAGGCUAUUUGGAAAGGUACAUUAAAAGGAGAAAAGGCAUGUUUGAUAGUGCGGCGUGAUGAUAAUGAUUUUUGGCAACAUGUUAGAAAUCAUCCGUUCCAUCCUCAUCUUCUUAAUUAUUUUAAUAUUUAUAGUUUUAAAGGCGUUAUAGAUGUUGGAUUCGUUCCUUGCGAUUUUUUCCUUAUUAUUGCACUUGUUGAAAGGUGGCGACCAGAAACACAUACCUUUCACCUGAGAACGGGUGAAGCGACUAUAACCUUACAAGAUAUGAAACUCAUGUUUGGAAUGGUCAUAGAUGGAACUCCCAUUCUUCAUCCAGGUGCUACUCAGAUGUUGCCUAUUAACAGGCAACAAAUGUUUGUCGAAUUAACAGGAUGGAUACCUGACCUAGACACAGGCAACAAAUGUUUGUCGAAUUAACAGGAUGGAUACCUGACCUAGACUUUUUUCAAGGAAAUAGAAUUUUUUUAAUGAGAUUAGAAGAAUAUAUAGAAAAUCUAAAUGAAAUAACUGAUGAAACUGAGGAGGAAGAGGUGCAACGAAGAGUUAGAUUGUACCUUUUUUUAUUGUGCGGUGGAACAAUAUUUCUUAAUAAAUUUGAAAAUAAAUUUAGUACAAACUUUUUGAUUGACAUGCGUGACUUACCCGCAAUAUCAACACAGGCUUGGGGAGCCGCUGCGCUAUCGUACCUCUAUUUUUAUUUGUGUCGUGCGUCGAUGGAGAAGUCACACUGCAUUAGUGAUUUUGUUUUGUUAUUACAGGUAUGUGAAUUAUAUGAUAUAUUUUUUCCAUUUUGAACUACUUAAUUUAUUGAGAUGACAACUACUAUUGAUUAUAUUUUUUUUUUAGGUAUGGGCAUGGGAGCGUAUUGUCCCAUUGCAACCACUUCUGCUGCUUCCGAGUGAGAAAAAUCCGGAGGUCCCAACCGCACACGUACGUAAAUGGUCUCGUGGUAGAACUCAUCAAAAUGAGUAUCGUAGUGUGCUUAUCAUAAUAAGAGAUGCAUUAGACAAUCUUACUGAGAAGCAGGUAUUUUUUAUAUUAUCAUGUCAUUUUUUUUCUUAAUUUGUUUUGUUUGUAGUACUAUAACACAAUGUUCCACCAACUAAAAAAGCUCAUAUAUAUAAGAGUGGUGAAAUGCUAAAUUAUUAUAGCAUGCAAAAUAUUAACUAUUGUACUUCGGAGAGUCAUAUACGUACACUGUGUAGUAAUUUUCACUAUAAAUUCUAGACCCUGCUAUAUAUAAAUUUUAUUAUUACUAAAGAGAUAUUUCACAAUCAUAUUAUGUUUCUUAAUAAAUAAUGUAGUUAUCAUUAACAUUAUUCACUUCAUAGUGAAAUUUUUAAAAUACAUAUUUCAGGUUAGAGUUGAAUUCUUAAUAUAUGCCUGUUAUUUAUUAAACGAAGCAAAAAUUAGAUAAAUUUUUUGUGACACAUUAAUCAUAAUAUUUUUAUUAUCUUGUAGUUUAUUUGGCAGCCAUAUUCUGAGCAAAGAAUUUUGACUUACUCGCACAUCAAACUCACUGUCAGUGGGUUCUUCAACAAUAGGAGAAUGUUCCACACAUGCAUACAUGUCAAGCGUUUGUAAUUAAGGCGAUUACCAAAAUUUCAACAGUGCAAAGAAAUAAAGAUAAAGAAUCAUCAUUUUAAAUAGGAGUUUUACCAAAUAUUGAUUGUCCGUUGGACGUAAAAUAAUUCGAAUAUCGUCCAGAAAUAACCACAUCAUCUUCCGGAUUAGUAAUACCCAGUUUACUCCUAAACAACCUUUUCAAACGAUCAUAUUUGAGAGAUAAAGGAAAUAAUUGAACCACUAUAGGACGUCGACUAUAUCGCACCGAAUCUCCAUCAUUCAAAACUUCACCACCCCAAUGUAAAUUUACUCUUACCUUAUCCAUUUUAAAGUAAGAAAUGAAUAAGGUUCAACAAAUUUUUGAGUUAUGAAGUUUAACAAUAUUUUUGAGUUGAUGCAAGAAAUGAACCUCUAUUCACACUCUUUAUAUAGCAGCGAGAAUUUUAAAGUUGUUACAACGUAAACAUGGGAUCCUACCUUACAAGGUUAACGACUUCAUUUACCUUGUAGCCUUACACUUUGCCGACACUUACAUAUAGACAAUAGAUAAGGUAAACUCACUAUUUUACCUUAUAAGGUAAACACACCAUUGUACCUUAUAAGGUAAACUCACCAUUUUACCUUACAUUCUAACAUUUUUACUGACGGCGUUAACUUCUUAAUAGACAAGGUAAACACCUUUGUUUACCUUGUCCCUUUUGAAAUUUUUCAGUAUUGGGGUGUUUUUUUGGAAUUUUGACUAAAAGAACUUGCCUUUUAGACUCUGGACUCCUAAAAUAAAUCAUAGAUAUUUGUGUGAUUAUUCUAAAAUAAGCAGCAUUUUAAAGUUUAAAUAUUAUUAAAUAUAGAAAAUACGUCAUUCUUGUGUUGAGACUUAUUAAAAAAAAAAGUGAGUCAUAUAAACUUUUUAAAGAAAAUAAGAAAAAGAUAGAACUAGUGAUUGUGAAAUUGCUUGGACUAUGGUCACAAAUUAGUGAAACAGGAUAGCUAGAACCAAAAUUAACCUGUAACGAUUUGGUCAAGAUGUUGUAUUUGACAUGACUGGAUAAUGUUCUGAAAAAUAUUUCAGGGCGUAAAAGAAAAGUUUGGCAUAGCAAUUGUGAAUCGACCUUUUGUCACGAGCUUCUCAACUUUUUUUAAAAAAAUAAUUGUGGUGUCCAGAUCAUUUUUCACGCACCUCGAUUAAAUCUACGGGAUACUUGUUACAUCCCACCAGCAACAGAUAUCGGGUAACUUCGUCGACCAAGUAUAUAACAUAUGGAAAGAAUCACCUAGUAUUGUUUGUCUCUAUUGAGAUUCGAACUUGACACCUGAGACCUUGGGCUCUCAACCCAUUUCAUUGACCACGGGCUUCUCAACUUUAUCGAGGUCCUAAAGCCGAACGCUAACAAGGGGCCUUAGACUAAAUUAUAUGUAAAACUCUAGUUAGUAAUGAGCCGUUUCAUUACUCUAGCAAUUGAAUCGACCUUUUGUACUGGGGACGUCCUAUGAGAUGGUUUGAACAAAUUCUCAAACAUAUUUUUUUUUCCCAUCCAGUGUUCGAUACCCACAUUGAAAUCCGAUUAAUUCAAAUUCGCACCGGAUAAAGCCCAACGAGGAUAACCUCCCUACCAUGGAUUUUUCCAGAACAAAUUCUCAAACAUACUACUAUACGAACAGUAUUCUUCAGCUAAGGCUGUUAAAUCCAGCUAUUUUUAUUAAAAAGAGAACUUGAAUGAAGGGCUAUCGAGAAGGGGAAUUGAACUGUGAGAUCAAAUAUUAUUAGUAUUAACAACAUAUAAAAUAUUAGUUGCAGCAAAGAGAGCGAGUAAUUUCAAGUUCAAAGAUAAAUUGUAAGAACAAAGACUUGCAAGGGUCAUCAUUUGAUGGAACACCAUUUUUCACCCUUUUAAGUGAAUGUUUUUCUUCAAAAGAAAUCUGAUCACCAAACAUUAGAAAGUGACUGAAAAGUAACUUUUCUGGAGAAUGACUUAGAUCGUACCAAACAUACAAAUAGUAAACAAGUCCCAUUUAAUAUUUCACAAAAAAGUAGACCUAAAAUAAACACUACAUAGGAGAGCUUAAUAUGAAGAAGCCAAAAGAACUAUUGGGAAAUAGAUUAUCAAUUAAGUGAUUUACACCACAAGAAAAUAGUAGUUAUAGGAAAACAUUCAAGAUGAUACACACUCUAAUUCCCAAGUAUUCUUAUUAAACAACUCUUUUAUGUCGCAGCCAAAAAAGUAGGUCAAUGCCAAUGUAUGUCACUUUUAUUGUACAUGCGAUUUAAAAACUUCAUACUGCGACGAAAGAGUACACAAGACAUUGACUUGAUACAAGUCUACUGCAUUGGAAGUCCUAGAUCAAAAGCUGCAAAAUUACAAUCGCGAGCAAGACGUUCAGGCACUUUUCUUCACCUCAGCAGCCUUGAUGAUGUCAAUGAACUCCGGCUAUAAAAUACAGAAAAGGGAAAUGUUUAACGACAAGCUGCUCAACCAUAAUUCAUUGUUUAUUAAGCCAAGAGUAGCCGCCAGAAGAAAGUAACUCCGGGGUAUUUUUAACAUACCUUCAAAGAAGCUCCACCUACAAGAAAACCGUCAACAUCUGGCUGUCCAGCCAACUCCUUGCAGUUUGCACCGCUUACAGAUCCUGCACAAGCACAGUAAAAUUCAGUUUAUUAAGCGCAUGCACUGAAAUAUGCUAAACAAGUUUUGCACGUGAUUAGCUGACUAUUCAGUCAUUUUGCAGUCAAGUUAUGGUUACAAAAGGUACUUAUGCACCAAAUAAUUGUGAGUACGCCUCAUUAAGAAAAUUUCUAAUAGUAAAUUAUCGUUAUUAAAUUCCAACUAUAUGCUUGCCAUUGAUUACUGUUAGGAAUGUACUGAAGUUACUUUCCUUGAGAAGCCAGUAUAAUGUGUCCCAGCAAGAAAUGGAGUGACUCUCAUCUCCCAGAAACGUGUGGAAUGUUGGGAAGAACUUAUCAAAUUCUAAAUGCAAACACAUAGGUGAUAGAUUUGGACCAAAACGGAUAGCGCUCAUAAAACAUUACCUCCAUAGAUGAUCCUGGUUGAGGCAGCCACUUCAGCGCUAACAUUUGCUUGAAGCCAUUUCCUCAAUUCAGCAUGUACCUGGAAUGCAGAAAACAACCUUAAAAACAAAAUUGCUAAAAUUUGUACCAAAUUAAUGAUCUGGGUUCUGCAUUCAUUAUCAAUAUUGAUGUAAUGAUGUCAUGAAACCCACAAAUAACGAAAUCUAUUACUGCAAAGAAACUAGGAGAAACUUGCAAUUCAAUCUCAAAAUUACUACUCAAUAAUUUGAUGUAGAAGUAAAGAAUGGUUUAGAUAACUGUUUAACACAGAUUGGCUUCUCCAUCCCUCUCCCACACCAGCAAAACAUCCCGGGACAAAACCUAGAAAUAAUACGAAAGUAGAUCUUUGUAAUCUAGUGUUUUAAUCAAUUGAAAAAAAAAAAUGUGACUUGAUGUUACCAGUAAGUCAGUAUUCAAUCACUGAUGCUAACGUUCCAAGUCAAGUUAAAAUUCAAGCUAGAUAUAGAGGAACUUGAGUGAGUAAAUGAAACAAGCUGGUCAAAUCAACUUACUUCCUGAGCUUGUGCAGGGGUUGCAACCUUUCCAGUACCAAUAGCCCAAACAGGCUCAUAAGCUAUCACAACAUUUGUCCAAUCUUUUACUAGAUCUGCAGUGAGAUGAACUUAAAACAAUUAGAUGGAGGACUAAAAAACUAUUGCUAGUUGCUCUUCCAAAAAAUUAAUCCCAUCGUUUCAUUUUAUGUGACAGUGUACUACAGGGCACGGUGUUCAACUAGAGGGUAUGUUGUUUUUUAUACUAGAGGGCACGGUGUUCAAGAUGUUAAUUUGACUUGUAUAGCUUAACGAUGGUUAUGAUUGACAACCCAUGAAUGAUGAUAGUACAAAGUUAUCACUCCUAAGAUACACUAGGAAGCCCCGUAAGGACUCACAAAAUACAAUUAAAAGAUCUGUUAGUUGCAGUUCCUAUCCCUUUUAUCUUCAAUCGCUUUACUUUAUUAUUCUUUUUCAUCUUACCUUUUAGUAUCUUAAUAUAUCUCAUCAAUCUAUGUAUUCCUUCAUGCUUCCCAUUUCCAUGCUGAUAUUAAAUAUCAGAUUAAAAGUGGAUGGAAUACUAAUCAACAUAAUAUCAUUGAGUCACAUUCUAGCUAGAAAUAAUAAAGAAAGCAUUUUGAUUUUCUACCUGCAAUAGCCUUCGUUUGUGCAGCAACAACAUCCAUUGUGGAUCCUGAUUCUCUUUGCUCAAGAGUCUCCCCAACACAUGCAAUUACCUUCAAACCUUGAGAAAGAGCAUAUGCUACCUUGUCUCCAACGAACUGCAAUCAACAAUUAACAAGUUAAAAAAUUGUAAAAUAUAGCCCUUUCAGCUCAGUUAUUAAUAACUACACUGAGGAUAUAACAUAAAUCAGCAGCUUUGUAUGAAAUAGCUUACCUCGUUUGAUUCACCCAAAAGGGCUCUCCUUUCAGAGUGACCCAAAAUGACCCAAGGAAUGCUCAGAUUAACAAGCAUCUCAGCACUGCACAGAGAAUAACAAUCAGCUUAGGAUAAAUCAUGAUACUCAAAUUCUACAGACAACAUCCUCUAAAGUAUGAAGAAGAAAACUGCAAAAAGAUAAGAGUAAAACAUCCAUAGUCAAAAUAUAAAGCCAAGAAUUGCAGCUUGAAGAAACAAUACAUGAAACUAGACCACAAUAAUUACCUAACAGUCACCUCUUUCCUUAAGGUGCAGGCCUCAAACACAUAACAGCUAGAUAUAUCAUCUUUCCAUAAGUACAACAUGGUACACAAAUAAAACAGGAACGUACCUAACUUCCCCGGUGAAAGCACCGCCUUUCUUAACCCAACAAUUUUGGGCGGCAACAUGAAAAUCAGGUCGCAGCUCAUUCUUGACCAGAGGAAGAAAUACAAAUGGGGGGCUCACAACAACCUCUGCAAGAGAAGAAAAUUGGUAACUGUGUUAUGGAACAGUAAGAUCUUAUCCAAACAUAUAUAUAGCCCAAAUAAAAACAAGUGAAGAACUUGAAGGACAAUUCAACUACACUGUUAUCACUCUACUACUUACACAUAUCCUCAUCUGUCCAAAUUCAGUUUGUACAAAAUACCAGAGCAACAAUAUAUUGACGAAUGUUUAUAUAUUUCAGAAAGACAGAAUUGAGUGCUUGCCAUAGGAUAUGGGCAUCCUAAAAUGAUUGUCCAGAUAUUUUGACACACCAGGCUCCAACAAUCCGACCCAAAAUUGUAUUAAAAAAAUUACUCGUGCGGGAAAUUUACUUACCAACAACAUCUUGUGAUGGCACUUGACCAGCAUUGAGUGUUGAUAUUAUCUUCUUGAUCUCGUCACUGGUUCCAUUCUGCAUUGCAUUCGUUAUCAGAUUAGAGAUAAAUCAUCAAUCAAUUACCAAGUAUUAUAGAGGCUCCUACCAAGCAAAGCUUGAUAACUGGUGGAUCCACCGCAAACCAUGACAUAUUUGAAAAAGUUUUCAUAAGAUAUACUCCCUAGACAAUCUAGGGGUCGUACUUUCCUUUUUGUUCUGUCCCAAACAGAGUGCAUCUUUCUAUAUUUAGUAAGCUUAUCAAUGCCAACACAUUCCACAUGGCAAGUUUAAGACCACAGCACACACAUUUAAGUUAAGGUCACAAAAUUCAAAAGUCUUAACUUUAUCUAUUAAACUCCGUGCUCAGUCAAACUAACACACUUAAAUUGGGACGGAGCCACAGAGAAAGUAUAUUUUUACUUAUUUGAUUUCAUACUCCUGAAGAUUGGAAUCAAACGUGAGCUGUCAUGUGUUCAUACUCCGCUGCAGAAACCGACAUAUAGUUAUAGUUGAAAAUAUUAAACAACUACUCUUCUAUACCGUGGGACAGGAGGUAACUACCUAAACAGGACAUAUAUUACUACACACACAGUGACCUUCCAGAAUUUGCUGAGAUCCAAAACAAAAACAACUGUAACCAAAUCGGUAAGCCAAAAAAACUGUAUUACUAACUAUCUAAUUAAUUGAAUAUAAAGCAACUGGCCUAUCGAUUCAGAAAACAAACGAUAUUUUUAAAAGAAAAAAAAAACUUAUUUCGAGCAUAAUACACGUAGCCACUCAAAAUUCAAAAUAACAUAAGAUCGAGAUUCAAAUCGUUACACUUAAAAAUUGUAAUCAGAUCAGUAUUAUUAACAAUUUAUGCCUAAAAUCCGUAUUUCUACCUAAGUAAAUCGAAUAUAUUGCAACUGGAGCUGCUUCUCUAGCUUGUAAAUACUAUCGAUUCAGAUAAAAAAAAAAAACGAGAUUUACAAAUAAUAAUAACAACAAUAACAACAACAACAACAACAACAAGAAUAAUAAUUUCCAGUUGCCAUCGACGAAGAAAGUUGUACACUGACAAUUUUAAUUAGAUCGGUACUACUAACAAUUUAUGCCUAUAUUGAUAACUAAAUAAAUCGAAUAUAAAGCAUCUUAAAGCGCUUCUCUAGCUUAAAAAUAUUACCGAUUCACAUUUAAAAAAAAAGAGAUUUUGAAAUAAAAAAAAAAACAAAAAAAGUAAGUUAUUCAGAAAAUAAAUCGAUCAAAAAAGUUCUGAUUGAGAAGCUUACGCAUUUCCAGUUGCCGCCGACGAAGAAUUUUCUGCCCAUUUUUUGGAUAUGAUGUAGAUGAACUGGAAGGAUUGGAGAGCAAGAAAAAAGAGAUCUAAAGUUUUUUUGUGUUUGUGGUAAUGAGAUGAGCAACUGAAGGAUUUUUCAUAUAUAUAGUGGAAAAGUGGGCCUUGGAGUUUUCACUCACUAAUUUACCCCUCACCUGUUACAGAUUUCGAUUUCGUUCUCUGUGGAGAAACAGAAUGAGCCUUACAAUACGCAAUUUAAAUUAGUCAUGGGUUUAAUAUGGAUAUCAAAUACAUGAUUUUAAUUAAUUGAGAUUUUAAUAUGAACAUCGAACAUCAGAGAAAUUAAAAAAAAAAAAGGAAAAAGGGGCCUUGGAGUUGUCACUCACUCACACAUGUGAUUCUAAUGACUAAUUUACCCUCACCAUGGAUAUCAAAUACAUGAUUUUAAUUAAUUGAGAUUUUAAUAUGAACACCGAAUAUCAGAGAAAUUAAAAAAAAAAAAAAGGAAAAAGGGGCCUUGGAGUUGUCACUCACUCACACAUGUGAUUCUAAUGACUAAUUUACCCUCACCUUGUUACCAACUAUGGAAGGGUAUGGUUUAUUUAUUUAUUUAUUUAUUAUUUAAUAAUUAUGGUGUCUCAAUCAGUUUUCUUGUAUCUCGAUUAAAAUUUAGCAUAGUACCUCCACUUACUAUUAACAAUAGAUAUUAGAUAAUUCUGUCUACCAAGAAUAGAAUAAAUCGAAGAAACACAUUGUAUUUUUUUUGUCUCUACUGAAAUUUGAAUCUAAAAUCUUAAGAGCACCCUUCGAUGCAGGUGGAUAAUAUUUUGAAAAAUGUUAUGCCGUUAUUUUAAAUUAAUUUGGUAUGAUUCGAUAUUUUGAGUUUGAUUUGGUAUCUCGUAAUACAUUAAAUUAGUAAUUAUAAUUUAUUUGAUUUUGACUUAUGUAUAUAGUAUACUCAUAUAUAAUAGAGAAUUAUGACUUAACUUUUUAAGAAAUUGCUCAAUUAAAUUAUAUUGGAUAAAAAUAUUCAAAAGAGAUGAUUACAAAAAAUUCGACUCAAUUGCCUAUGCGUAUUUGCAUUGCACCAAGUUUCUUAUAGAGUUUUUUUUCAUUUUCAUGGACUCGAUCCCUAGACCUUUGAUUAAAUGUAAAGAAACUUCAACCAUUCCACUACAAUUUACAUGGCUAAAACAUGAAUUAUUUUAGAUUUUUUUUCAAAGAAAAAGAGCAAAUUCAUUUUCCAUAUAAUAUUUGAAGGAAAAUUGUUAAAGGUGAAUAUGCAACAGCAUAUGCUUGUAGGACAUUUUGGUCAUUUAAAUAGCAGGUGAAAUUUUUUUUUUUUCACCUUGUGCUAAAGGAGCUCAUAGUUACUACAGUACACAGAAAUCCUAGCCAUCACAAAAAAGUGGGUGGACAUAAGAAUAUUGCAUCCACAAGUUUUUUUCCUUUAUUAUGGUUUGGUAUUAUUACAAAUAUUACUUUUUACUUAAAUUAUAUAAAGUGAUUUCAUUACCAUGUAGAAUAGACAUGUAUGUACUAAGGAAAUUAUUUUUUUAUGGAAAAUAUUUGCUUGCAAAAUAAGUUGACUUCUUACUUAUUUUUUAAUUUUUGGUAUGUAAGUAAAAUAAAUAUUAUCUCAAGAAUAUUUAUAUAUAAACUAGCAAAAAAUUAUAGAGGUGCAAGGGGGCAGGGUGUGGGACCUCAGGAGUGGCGGGCGUGGGAUGAUCAAGACGUAGGGUUGCGAGUCAUUUCCUGUGUGAGAGAAUACAAUAAAUAUAUAAUGUUAGUUACAAAACUUAUUUUUUCUGUUUUCAAUAAGAAAAUUAUUUUCAUUAUUUUUAAGGAGUUUUUUUUUUUUCUAGAGAAAAUAUUUUUCAUAAAUUUUGUCCAACCAAAUAUGAGAGCUCCAUACCAAACACACCCAUAAUUUAAUAUUAUCUUCAACUUAUUUUGUUAAGGUUUGUGUACAUCUCACCUUCCUUAUAUCUCAUUUGUAACAUUAACAUCAUCGUUUCAACAUAUUUAUGACAAUUUUCUUUUUGAGAAUCAAAUAAUAGAUGUGAAGUUUAACUAAUAUAUUAAGAUAUAUUUGAAAAAGUUCAAUUUAUAAUACUUUUCGUAUUUAAAAUAUCAAAUUCAUUGAAUCUAAUUUUACGUGAACUUUCGAGAAGUGAAAGAUGAAAACUAUUUUAAAAAAAAAUUAUAUCAAAUUUGUAUGACUUCAUUUUGCAUAUGUUGUUUAAUUAUUCAAUUUAAUAACUAAUGAUUGGUGUCACAGUUGACAAUUAAUGCUAGUAGGCGGCAGCCAAGCAUGAAGCAUUACGAAUAUCACUUUGUUCUAUUAUAGCAAUUGAUUGUGCUUCGAACCAUUGGAGGGAAUCAAUAUUAUAUCGACCAUUGUCAAUGCAUAAACAUUCUACAUUUCUUUUAUAUAAAAUGUUAGAACAAGUAAAUUUGGACUUUCAAUUUUUGGAUUGAAGAUAUUACAAUUCAAAUAAGUUCAAGUUGGAUUGCAAUUUGGUUUUGAAUUAGUUGGUUUGGAUAUUUUGAUUUUUGAUUUUGAGCCUCUAGAACAAGCUAUAGCAAUUAAUAACUUCAAUUCACUAAAAAGUUUUCUUAUGAGAAUGUAUAACUUUCUACCGUUAACAAGAAUUGAAUUUCGAUACUGAAUUUAAUAUUAUAGUGGAACGACAUAACAUAACUUUAACAAAGCUUAUGCAAAGAUCUCACUAGUGAAAUUUCACCAAGUAUGUUGUCGUAUGCAAAGAGAUGCAAACUUUCAUUUCAUAACCCACAAGUUAUGCCUUAAAUGGUAUGUCGUUUAUUGGCAAAAGUUCAGUUUAGAAUCCACAAAUUAUGACGUAGAAGGCACAACUUAGUUCCUAUAUAAAUUAUGCCAACAGAGGAACAAAAAUACCUUCAGUUUCAAAACCGACAAAUUUUUCCAUAAAAGAAAAAUUGAAUUUCGAUACUGAAUUUAAUAUUAUAAUGGAACGACAUAACUUAAUUUUAAUAAAACUUAUGCAACGACCUCACUAGUGAAAUUUCACCAAGUAUGUUGUCGUAUGCAAAGAGAUGCAAACUUUCAUUUCAUAACCCACAAGUUAUGCCUUAAAUGGUAUGUCGUUUAUCGACAAAAGUUCAGUUUAGAACCCACAAAUUAAGACGUAGAAGGCACAACUUAGUUCCUAUAUAAAUUAUGCCAACAGAGGAACAAAAAUACCUUCAGUUUCAAAAAAGAAUUUUGAUACUAAAUUUAAUAUUAUAAUGGAACGACAUAACUUAAUUUUAACAAAACUUAUGCAAAGACCUCACUAGUGAAAUUUCAUCAAGUAUGUUGUUGUAUGCAAAGAGAUGCAAACUUUCAUUUCAUAACCCACAAGUUAUGCCUUAAAUAGUAUGUCGUUUAUCAGCAAAAGUUCAGUUUAGAACCCACAAAUUAAGACGUAGAAGGCACAACUUAGUUUCUAUAUAAAUUAUGCCAAAAUACCUUCAGUUUCAAAAUCGACAAAUUUUGCCAUAAAAGAAAAAUAAACGCCCACCGUGGGGCUCGAACCCACGACCACAAGGUUAAGAGCCUUGCGCUCUACCAACUGAGCUAGACGGGCUUUGUUUUAUCAUACCCACAUAAUCACUGGAAUUUGUAACUGAAUGUGAGAAAGAAUAACGCUACUGCAAUAGUUGCUUUCCCUCUGUUUUAUUGACCUAUGAUUAAUGUAAACUAUAAUUAACCACCUUCCUUUUCAACACUAUAUAGCAUUUCAAAGAUAUAAUGACCUAUGAUGAAUCAAGUCAACAGACAUAAUCAACCAUCAAUAAGAUUCUUACCACAGUUACAGUAGUAUAUACUCAUACCCACUAGUGUCUACACCUUACAAACUAAACUUACCAUAGUGAAAUGAUUUAUAAUGAAGUGAAAAUAUAUGAUUAUUUACCACAACUAGAUGAUAAUUGUGUACAUAAACACGUCGCAAGUUGAAUUAGUUUGCGUAAACAGCCGUGGCGAGUAUGUUUUUACCCAUCUUUCAGUUACCUCAAAUAAGGGGGUGUGGGGAGAGAACACAUAAAGAGAAGAAUAAUGGAAGAGUGGAAACUUCUAAGUCAAUAGUAAUAAAAGCCAACAAUCAAACUCCUUGCCCUCUCAAUAUCUUCAAUCCAACAUGAGAACAAAAACACAGAAAAUAAAGCUAGAAUAUAACACUGCAAUUGCAUUUGUGAUCCAGUAGGAAAUAAGAAGUAUUUUCCUUUCACCAACACUGUCAAUCGUGGAAAAUUAGAAACACUUUCUGUGGACAAUGGACGGACCAGAUUCAUCGUACUCUGUCUUUGCAAUCCACAUCUACAGAAAUGGAAGAGAAGCAGAAAACAUCAUCAGAAACUGUCAAGCUUCUAAAUACGAUAGGCACAGAAGAGCGCAAGAAAAGGAAGACUGGGGAGGGGCAGGACGACAAGGAUCUAUUAUAUUUAUACGCAGUAUUAACCUACAUUUCGGCUAGAGGCUGUUUCCUCGUCUUCUAAGUACGAUUGACACAGAAUAGCACAAAGCUUAUAAUAUUAGGAGGGAGAAAGGAGCAAACCUGCUGGAACGUGCUAAGGGAUGCCAAGAUGGAGCCUCCGAUCCAGACACUGUAUUUCCUCUCUGGUGGAGCAACCACCUUAAUCUUCAUGCUGCUAGGAGCCAAUGCAGUAAUUUCUUUGCUCAUUCUAUCAGCAAUACCCGGGAACAUGGUAGAUCCACCACUGAGCACAAUGUUUCCAUAAAGGUCUUUUCUAAUAUCCACAUCACACUUCAUGAUAGAGUUGUAUGUGGUCUCGUGGAUUCCUGCAGCUUCCAUUCCAAUCAUUGAAGGUUGGAAAAGCACCUCAGGACACCGGAAACGCUCAGCACCAAUGGUGAUCACCUGUCCAUCUGGGAGCUCAUAGCUCUUCUCGACAGAAGAGCUGGUCUUAGAUGUCUCGAGUUCUUGUUCAUAGUCAAGAGCUAUGUAAGCAAGCUUUUCUUUCACGUCCCUGACAAUUUCCCGUUCAGCUGAGGUGGUGAAAGAGUAACCACGCUCGGUAAGGAUCUUCAUCAAACUAUCAGUGAGGUCACGACCUGCCAAGUCAAGACGGAGAAUGGCAUGUGGAAGGGCAUACCCUUCAUAAAUUGGCACAGUGUGGCUGACACCAUCACCGGAGUCCAACACAAUACCUGUGGAGAAGAAAAAAAUUAGCAGCAAUAACCCGACAGAUAACAACCAUGUCAAAAAUACAAGGCUAGACGCAAUCAUAUCCACACUAAGUCAUCACAUAAAUGCAAGAUCUUUUAACGGUAUAAGCAUCAAGAAACUUGAGAGAAGUAGUCACAUAAAAUAAAUAUGCUAAUAAAGAAAGAAAAUUUUCUUACCGGUUGUACGACCACUGGCAUACAGUGAGAGCACAGCCUGGAUAGCAACAUACAUAGCUGGGGUAUUGAAAGUCUCAAACAUAAUCUGGGUCAUCCUUUCACGGUUAGCCUUUGGGUUAAGAGGUGCUUCAGUUAGGAGGACAGGGUGCUCCUCAGGGGCAACACGAAGCUCAUUGUAAAAAGUGUGAUGCCAUAUCUUCUCCAUAUCAUCCCAGUUGCUGACAAUUCCGUGCUCAAUUGGAUAUUUAAGAGUUAAAAUACCUCUCUUUGAUUGAGCUUCAUCUCCCACGUAGGCAUCUUUUUGACCCAUACCCACCAUCACACCAGUAUGGCGGGGGCGGCCAACAAUACUAGGAAAUACAGCUCGUGGAGCAUCAUCUCCAGCAAACCCAGCCUAGAUAAUAAACUGAUAUAAGAAUCUCCUUGUUUUGUUGACAUAAUGGACCACAAGGUAACAAGCAAUCAAGCAUGACUAAAAAAACAUAAUGAACGUCAACUCCAUACUACUAAAAAGUACAGCUUACCUUGACCAUUCCUGUUCCAUUGUCACAGACAAGGGGCUGAAUAUCCUCUCCGUCUGCCAUCUUAUGCUAUUUCCUACAUUAAAAUACGGAACUUGAGUAAAAGAUGUAUAGGUCCAAGAAAUUACAUCUAAUUCUGAUAUCUUGUUUCUUUAUACUAGCUUUUGCUACUUCUAAAUAACAAAUAACUUCUAAAAUAUGCUGAACACAUAAAGUUCCACACAAAAACAUACACCUUAUGUGAAAGAGAUGUUCUUACUAUUCUUUCAUUCAAAGGUUACUAUUACUUCGAACCUCUGUUUUUCAGUUUAUAGAGAAAUAUAUAUCCUCUCUUUGCAGGGAUGACAAAAUAAAGGCUCCGCACACAAAUUAUAGAUAUUAUUAUAGCUAAUGACAAAUCGUUGCAUCAACAAAUCAAUAGAAUAUGUUUCUUUCACAACAUUGGAGAUUCAGGGCAUAUCAAACCAGCUCAUGAAGUUCACAAGCAAAGUUGGUCAAGAAAUGUAAUAUUGAUCUGCCAUGGAUAAUGGAUAAAUGAUAUAAUCACCACCAGUUUUUGGAGGAUUUUUACAUUUACUAGGUUGAGUAGAUACAGCUUUUGCAAGCCUCAUAAGGUGCAGCAUACAGUCCAUAACACAACACACCCCAAGGUACAUAAAACUUAUCCCCACAUAAAACUCAAUUUUUUGUUAACCCUGGUGUUCGGGCGUGCACCUCGAUUAAUCCCACCGGAUACCUGACAACCCCCCACCAACAAUAGGUACCAGAUAAUACUGACCAUCAAAGCUAGAACAAAAGGAAAGAAAUCACCUAGUGUUUGGAUUUGAACUGAGACCUCAUGAAAACUAAAUAGCUUCUAUUUCACAGAAAAGCUACAAUUAGACUCAAAUAAACCAUAUAAAUUCAGAUUCCACAUCUUUUCACAAAUCCAAAGCAUCACGUAAGGAAUCCUGAAAUUUUAUUGUGCUAUGAUCAUCACAACAAAUCAAAACAAAUAGCAUUAUUAGCAUUGCUUCUGCACUUCUGCCAAGCGAAUACAAACGACGACAUUAAUACUAUAACAUUCAUCCUCGACAAGUAUACAGCAGAUCCAACAAAAUCCUAAUCAAAACUUCACAAAAAGAACAACAAACAAUUCUAUGUUCAUCGAUAACUUUAUCCAAGUCAUAGCUGCGAAAUCUAGAAAUGUGAUGCAGCUCAUUCAAUUUCGAUACGAACAAUGAACAACUGGAGAUUCAUGAUGAACGGAUCUAUGGAUCGAAAACAUAUUACUAUAAGACACCUCAAAAUCAUACAUAAUUAUCCAAAAAUGAGAUUGAAAUUGCAAAAUACAGAUGAAUUGUAGUAUCUCCUUUUUAGGAGCUGGAAAUAGAAGAAAAAAUUUGUAAAGAGAGGAAGACACACAAAAACAGACAGGCAUGAACUGCAAAAAUGUGGGAGCUCAUUCAAUUUUGAUACUAUUUUCCAUAUAUAAACCAACGAUGAACUCCGGAAUAUUCCGAUGAACAGAUCUACAGAUCGAAAACAUUACUAUUACUACAAAAAUCGAACAAUUACACCUCAAUAUCAAACAUAAUUAUAAAAAAAAUGCAAAUGAAAAUGCAGAUGAAUUUUACAAUAUUUAUGUCAUAUAUCUACAACAACUAGAAAUGUGCUAGCUCAUUCAAUUUUGAGACACUAUUUUCCAUAUAUCAACUAACAAUGAACGGAUCUACACAUCUAAAAAAGCAACUAUUACUACAAAAAUGGAUCAAUUACACCUCAAUAUCAAAUAGAAUUAUCAAAAAAUUGAGAGAAAAAGCUAUAGAAAUUGUAAAAUGCAGAUGAAUUUCACAAUAUCUAUGCCACAUAUCAGCAAAAACUAAAAAUGUACAAGCUCAUUCAAUUUGAUAGUACUAUUUUCCACAUAUCAACUAACGAUGAACAGAUCUACGCAUCUAAAAACACAAUAAUUACUACAAAAACCAUUCAAUUACACCUCAAUAUCAAACAAAAUUAAAAAAAUGAGAAAAAAUUCAAUCAAAAAUGCAAAUGCAGAUAAAAAUCAAUAACUACAUCUCAACAUCAUAUAUAAUCAUAAAAAAAAAUGAAAAAAAAUCAAUUUAUGUAUAUAAAAACAUAAUUAUUACUACAAAAAUCGAUCAAUUACACUUCAAUAUCACAUACAGUUAUAAAUAAAAAAGCGAAAAAAUUCAAUUAAAAUUGAAAAUGCAGCUCAAUCAUACCUUUUUCCGAAUUGAAAAUCGAAGAGAAAAUUGUAAAGAUAGAAAGAGAGAUGAGAGAGAGAGGCACACACACAAAUGUGAAAAACUCUCUUUCUUCUUAUACUAAUUCUAACCCUCUAAGAGGAAAAUGCGAAGAGAAAGGAGAGAAAUUAUAUAUAUAUGGAAGAUUGGAGAGGAAAUGUGGGCCGUUGGAUUUUGUGAUCGAAUGAUAAACGGGUGGUGAUCAGUGUAACACGUCGUGGGGGGCUAUCAUUACCUCAUUACUCAUAAGUGGUUGUCACACACUCCCACCUCCAUAUUAUAAGAAAUUUCUUUCCAUUAUAUAUGUCAAAUUUAAGAAAUAAGUAAAAAAAAAAAAAUUAGUAUUAAAUUUACUAAAUUGUUCUUUUUAGAAAGGAAAAGGAAUUAGUAGUUGUUUUUGCUAGUGGAGUUGUAAUUGUUUUAUGUCAUUUUUAAAUAUGUUGCUAACUAUUAGUAAUAUUAUACUUCUUCCGACUCAUUUUAUGUGGCAUACAUUCAUCGGAUAUAUAAUUUAAGAAAUAAAAAAAAUACUUGAUGUUUAUCGAAUUGUUCUUUAUUAAAAAAUAUACAACUACUAUUUUUAAUUAAGUGAGAUCUUAUAAGUGGGACCAACAAGGAUAAAAGUGAAAUUAUGUCGUUAAAUAGUUAUCAAAUAAGAAAAAGUGACAUUCUUUUUUAGAUAAAUCAAAAAGAAAAUGACGACACAUAAAAUGAGACGAAGGGAGUACCAAAUAACUUAAUUUUUGUGUAGCAGGGUAUCCCGUAAGCAGGAUUAGGUAUUGAAUCCUAUCUAGUCCUUCUUCGAUCGAUUGAGCUGAUGCAACGAGUAUUAUUUUUCAAAGCAAUGCCUAGAAAACUCUCUCGUCUGGUUCCUUCUCAGUCAAGGUUGUUGCACAAAGCUUACUUAGAGUGAUUCACAUCUCUUUUGUGAUUUGUGAACUAUUUUAUAUGGGAACAAGUUUAUUCAAUUGCACAUUCGAGAAAUAGCAAUUACAAAUCACAAACCAAAUAAUAUAUGACACAUGUUUUGGAUAACGAGUACAUGACCUUAGAUAACAGACUAUAGAUGACACAAAUUAGGAUAGUAAGCUAGUAAGGUAAUUGAGUUAUCGCACUUAUUUUUCUAUACUAGUAGUAAUAUUAAUCUCGUAGUUUUUGUCCUUCAAUUCAUGCUAUUAUCUGUUAUUUCUUGUACUUUAGUUAUUGUAUUAUUUUGUGCUAGUUAUUAUUCUUAUCUCCAAAAUAUUUUAUCUUGCUUUACAUACUUCCUUCGUUCUCUUUUACUUGAUACAUUUUGACUUGACACACACAUUAAGAAAAAUAAUUAAUAACAUGAUUAUUUUAUCAUAGUACGCUUAUUAAAUGAUGUUUAUAUGGUGUCUUGAAAUUAAUUUGAAGAAAAAUAAUUAAUGUUAAGGAUAAAUAAGAAAAAAAAAGUUUGUCUUUUCUUGAUAUGUCAAAAAUGACAAGUAAAAGUAGAAAUUCAAUUAGAAAAUUAAUGAUAAGUAAAAGCGAACAGAGAGAGUAUUUUACAAUGACUUCUUCAGGACCACUUUGUUUUGCUUUUCUUUGAGCAGAGAAUCUAUUAAAAACCACCUCUUUGCCUUCCAAGGUAGGAGAAUAAAGACUACGUAUGCCCUACUUCUUCAAACAUCACUUAUGAAAUUACACAAUAAUAUGUAUGUAUAUAUAUAUAUAUAUAUAUUGUUGUCGUUAGGGAUGGCAAACGGGUGGAUUGGAUUGGAUUUGGAUGGGUUUAUUAUGGAUCGAGCAAAAAUGGUUUGAAUUGCAAUCUACCCGUAUAAAUAUGAGUAAAUAUAGAUUGGGUAAAAAUGGUUUCAACCCACAUUUUUCACUUAGAUUUUUCUGUUGACACAGGCCCACAUAACAAGCCCAGUCCAUUACAUGACCCGGGCCCAUAGUACUUUUAUUUUUGUACAUUUCAUUUUGUCUAUUCAAAUUGUCUUAAACACAUGUUUAUACACACUUCCAGAAGCAAUUGAGAUAUUUUCAAUUCUAUCAUCAUCUCUCUCUAAGCUUUUGUUCUCUAGGGUUUCAUUCUAUGCAUGCGAUAUAAGGGUUGUGAACCCUAACAUGGUAUCAAAGCAGGGAUCUGAGAUCCUCUUAUCCUGAUCUAUCUUCCGAUACUACCCGUAAAGGGUUUCGUUGGAGAUUUUUUUUUGGCGAUUGUUCAUCUUCUCAAUGAUAUUUAGGAUUUUUCGGCAAUCUUUUGUUCUCUCUAAUCGGAAAAGAAGAACUUACUUCUUCAGUCUGCAAAGAAGGGCGGUAUCUCUAUUGUUUUACAUUUUGUUAUUACGACUGUUGUACGCUGAUUGUUUGGGUUUUUUUUUACCACUGAAGUUGUGUUUCUCGAUUAUCGUUUGAUCUAUAGUUGCAUUCUUAGAAGAGCGCCAGCGUCGUCAUGUCUACUACUGCUAAUAGUACCACUGCUGAAGGGUUUGAGGAAUUUACAGUUUUCUCAACUCACCCUUUUUAUCUACAUCCAUCCGAUAACCCUAGCUCUCAUUUAGUUUCUCCACCAUUUGAUGGUUCUGGGUUUAUUAUAUGGAGAAAGAAUAUGAUCAUUGCUCUCUCCGCUAAGAAUAAAUCAGGGUUAGUCACUGGUACUAUCCUGAUUUCAUUGCCCAAUUCUCCGUAUUUUCCAUUCUACGAGAGAUGCAAUAACAUGAUUAUUGCAUGGAUUAUUAAUUCCCUCUCUCAUGAAUUGGCUCCCAGUGUCAUGAGUUUUGACACUGCGAAGGAGAUCUGGGCUGACAUUAAUGAAAGAUUUGGUCAAUCGAAUGGGACCAAAUACAUUCAGAUUUAGAAGGAAAUUAACUCCACCAUCCAAGGUUCCUCCAGUAUAGCCUCUUACUUCACACGUAUAUGUAGUCUAUGGGACGAAUUACACUCAUCUUAUGUUGGUCCUGUGUGUACAUGUGGUGCUUUGGGGAAAUUUAUAGAACAAUAGAAAUUGGGAACAAUUUCUGAGUGGACUUAAUGAUGAUUACUCUGUCUGCAGAAGCAAUAUGCUUAUGAUGCCUACCUUCCCCUCUCUCAGUAGUUCAUACUCCAUGUUACAACAUGUUGAGAAAUAAAAUGAGACUACUACUCCUAUUCUUAGUUUCUCUAAUGAAUCAGUUUCCUUUACUGCUUCCACUACUUUAUAUGGGAGAGGUCUUUCUCAGAGAGUCCACAAUGAUGUUAGGAGGGGUUUCUUUCCUUCUCCUCCUUCUGAUCCUAAAAGAGGAUACCUACUUCCCCCAGAACCAUAUUUGUCUGAUGCUAAGAGGUUCUCUACCUCCAUCUCUUUGACUUCUCUCUCUUGCAAGUAUUACAAAAGGUUAGGGCACACUAUUAUAAAUAUUACAAACUACAUAGAUAUCCCUCAGACUUUAAAUUUACAAAAAGAAAGAAAGCUCUAACCUGUGUGCAGAAUGAUGUUACUUUAGCUGAUGCCACAACAUCUUCUCUUUCUCUUUCUGAGGGUGAUUAUAAGUUGUCUAAAGAGAAAUACCAACAUUAUCUGCAUCUUCGGCACCUGAAUCCAGGUACCUCUGUGCCUGCUGGCUCUGCAGCUCCUGCUUUCACAGAUUCUGGUUAUGCUCACUUUGCAGGUGUGUUUACUCACCCUGCUGUUACUGCUACUGCAUUCCAUGCUUGUGCAAUGUCUUCACUAGGCUCAAAUCCUUGGAUUCUUAAUUCUGGAGCUACUAACCACAUGACACCACACAAAUACCUCCUCCUUAACCUUAUUCCCCUUCCCACUCCUCUUCUCAUUUCAUUACCAAAUGGUUACAGAGUUAAGGUUUUGUCUAGACUCAAGUCUGACAUUACCUUACAUGAUGUUCUUUUGGUUCCCUCUUUCCAAUUUAAUCUCAUUUCCAUCCAUAAGCUCCUUACUCAGCUUAAAUGUAUUGCACUUUUCACUGAAUCACAAUGUGUAUUGCAGGGCCUUUCUCAGAAGAGGCAGUUGAAAAUUGGUAAAGCUGAGAAUGGAUUGUAUUUUUUCAAUGUGGAUGUUCAUUCCCCUGCUGUACCCUCUUCAUUUCAUGCUUCUUGUCAUAGUUCUGCUCCUUCUACUUUGUCCCACUGUAAUCACUCUUGUAAUAUAAAUAACAUUAAUUUGUUAUGGCAUCAAAAAUUGGGUCAUCUUUCUUUUAAUAAAAUGAAAUCUAUUCAUUAUUUGCCAGAUAAACUUUCUAAUUCUCCAGGUUUCCAUUGUGAUAUUUUUCCCAAAGCUAGACAACAGACUUCCCUUUCCCCUUAGCUCUACCCAUUCUUCUUCUCCCUUUUAACUUGUUUAUAUUGACAUCUAGGGUCCUUACCACACUUCCACAUAUAAUGGUUUUAGAUAUUUUUUAACCUUGGUAGAUGAUUUCACUCGAGUUACCUGGACUCACUUUUUGGCUUCUUAGGGCAGUGCCACUUCUAUCAUCAAGUCCUUUGUCCAUAUGGCCAGAGUUCAUUUCAGGUUCCCUAUUCAAAAUUUUAGGUCUGACAAUGGUUUUGAGCUGGGGAAGUGUACUGAUCUUCAACAAUUCUUUGCUACCAAUGGCAUCCUCCAUCAGACCACUAUUCCUCACACUCCUCAAUAAAAUGGAAUUGUGGAAAGGAAACACAAACAUCUUCUUAAAGUUUCCAGGGCUUUACUUUUUCAAUCUCAUCUUCCACUCAAAUUCUGGGGUGAUUGUGUUUGAACAACCACUUAUCUUAUUAAUAGAUUCUCCUCUACUGUCCUCCACAAUAUUUCUCCUUUUGAAAAGUUACAUGGUUACCCCCCUUCUUAUGUUCAUUUAAAGAGUUUUGGUUGCUUAUCUUAUGCUGCUUCUUCUAAGCCCGGUAGAGAUAAGUUUCAACCAAGAUCUAUUCCAAGUGUCUUAUUUGGUUACUCUUGUGGUAAGAAGGGUUAUAAAUUGCUCAAUCUUUCUUCUCUUUCUAUUUUUUACUCAAGGGAUAUUGUAUUUCAUGAGCUUAUUUUCCUUUUUCCCCCAUCCCCUGUUUCUCAACCAUUUCCUCAUUCUUCACUUGUGUAUGAUGAUCCUCCUGUCCCCUCAGUACCUUCUCCUUCUAUGGUCCAUGGUGAUCUUCCAGCAGUGCCUAAGACCAAUCCCUCCCCUCUAUCUUCUCCUCCUAUGGUCCAUGAUGAUCCUCUAGCAGUUCCUAAGACCACUCCCUUUUCUUUCAUUCCUUUUCCUACACCUCUCAGAAAGAGUUUCAGAGUUAUUCACCCUCCUCCUCAUUUGCAAGAUUAUGACUGUUUCUCUGUUAAAGUCGCUCUUCAAGUCAAUUCCAAGGUUUCUAGUGUUGAUUUGCACUACUUCUAAUCCUGCUUGGCAAGAGUCCAUGCAUAAAGAAUUUAGAUCUCUUGAGUUAAAUCAUACUUGGGAUAUUGUGCCCUUUCCUCCUCAUAAGAAGGUUAUCCCUUGUAAAUGGGUGUAUAAGAUUAAACAGAGAUCUGACGGUACUAUUGAAAGAUACAAGGACAUAUUGGUUAUAAGGGGAGAUACUCAGAAGGCAGGUAUGGACUAUCAUGAGACUUUCUCUCCUGUGGUCAAAUUGACCACUGUGAAGUGUAACUGUCUCUUGCUGCUAAACACUACUGGACUAUUUUCCAGUUGGAUGUGAAUAAUGCAUUCCUUCAUGGUGACCUUCAUAAGGAUGUUUUCAUGAAAAUCCCACCUGGUCUUCAAGUCCCUUCUUCUUCUUCUUCUUCUUCUUCUUCCAAUCCUAUGGUUUUUUUCUUCCACCCCUAUGGUUUGCAAACUUAGAAAAUCUCUUUAUGGCCUCAAACAGGCUUCCAGGCAGUAGUUUUCAAAACUGUCUGAUGUUUUGUUAUCCAGAGGUUACAUUGCCAGUAAGAAUGACUAUUCCUUAUUUACCAAGUCUACUGGUUCCUCUUUGGUGAUCCUUGUGGUUUAUGUGGAUGAUAUACUGCUUGCUGGAUCUGAUUUAUCUGAGAUGGUUAACCUAAAGUCUUUUCUUGAUCUCUCUUUCAAGUUAAAGAUUUGGGUUCCGUUCACUACUUAUUGGGUUUGGAAGUUACCUCUCAUGAUUCUGGUUUUUUCAUCAACCAGUGUAAGUCUGCUUCUGAUUUGUUGACUGAGUUCAACUGCUUCCAUUAUACUCUUGUAUCCUCUCCUUUGGAUCUUGCUAUUAAGUUAACCCCUGACAUGGUUGAUCCUUUGACUGAUCCUACAUCCUUUAGGCGCCUGGUUGGUAAAUUGAAUUUUCUUCAGCACACCAAGCCUGAUAUCUCUUUUACUGUUCAGCAUCUGAGUCAAUUCUUACAUCAUCCUUGUGCACCUCACAUGGUUGCUGGAUUGCAUAUUUUGAGGUACCUUAUGAAUGCUCCGAAUCAGGGUAUCUUUUUGUCCUCUUCUCCUUCUGUUGAUCUAUGUGCAUAUUCUGAUUGAGCUGCUUGCCCUAUGUUUUGCUAAUCUGUUACUGGUUACUAUAUAUUUUUUGGGGGUUGCCCUAUCUCUUGGAAGAGCAAGAAACAGUCUACCAUUGCUCUUUCUUCAGCUGAGUUGGGUAUAGAGCUUUACGUAAGGUUGUUGCUGAGAUUGUUUGGCUCACUCGUUUAUUUGCUGACAUGGGUUUAGUUUUGUCUUUUCCUGUUCUUGUAUUUUGUGACAGCCAAGCUGCUCUUCAUAUUGCCCGAAAUCCAGUAUUUUAUGAGCGGACGAAGCAUAUUGAGAUUGACUGUCAUUUUGUCCGGGAUUGCCUCACUUCUUGUACUGUGGGUCUUCAUCACAUUCCCUCUGCUGCCCAGAUUACUGAUAUUAUGACCAAACCCUUGCCUGGUCCAUCUCAUCUCUCUUGUUUGCGCAAGCUGGGUAUGUUCACACCCUCCAGCUUGAGGGGGGUGUUGACACAGGCCCACAUAACAAGCCUAGUCCAUUACAUGACCCGGGCCCAUAGUACUUUUAUUUUUGUACAUUUCAUUUUGUCUAUUCAAAUUAUAUUAAACACGCGUGUAUACACACUUCCAGAAGCAAUUGAGAUAUUUUCAAUUCUAUCAUCAUCUGCAAUACUUCUCUCUCUAAGAUUUUGCUCUCUAGGGUUCCAUGUCUUUCCAUGGAUGCGAUCUGAGGGUUGUGAACCCUAACAUUUUCAUUAUAAAUGCAAAUGCAAUCUCAUUGUUAUGAUGCUAAACUGUGAAUCUAUACUCAAGACAAGCAUUAACAGAUAUAGACUAAAAGACAAGCAUUAACAUUAAUAGCAGGAAACAAGUAUUAGCCUGCUGCAUCUGAAGGCAAUCUAAGUUUAAAAGUGAAUGAAAUACCAAAACAUGAAUUGUAUCAUAUUGUAAACUAAAAGAUGUAUACCGUGUUCAAUUACAUUCCGGGGAAAGAAAAGAGCACAAAACUACUUUGUUCAAUUCUACAAACUCAGAGAAUCUACAUCUCAAUCACUUAAAACUCUAAAACCACGACUAAGCUUUUCCAAGAACCAGUAAUAUCCAGUAUCCGGAGUGUAACUUCACCAUCAAUCUAACCUGUGUCAUCAAGAAUCACCAACUUAUCAUCAAAAUGAAUUCCUUAACAUUCAGACUCACACAAAAAUAAAGAAAGAAGAUACACACAGUGAAUGAUAAAAAAGAGACCUUCAGCAAGACUUUCAAAAUCUUUCAGCCUAACACUCAAAAUUCAUGACAGAAGCAAAGCAGCGUCAAGCUCAAAGAGAUGUGGUUCCACAUGCUAAAUUCAUGACAGAACCAAUGAGUUUUUUAUAGCCAAGCAAGAAAGGGAAGUUCGUCUUCAAAGAACUCGAAACUAUUAGCAGAGUUUAGUAAUACUCAUGAAAAAGAUAGCAGCCUAUCAGCUUCUUCAACAAGUUCAAGUUCUAAAUCCAAUUUAGCUAUCAAGGUAUUAUUGAAGUUCGUGAUCAUUUCAUCUAAAAGUGUAAGUUAUUAAAGAGAUCUAGAAUACACUUUUAAGUACUUAAUUAUAUUAUGUUACAAAUAGGUACAAGAAUGGAGUGCAUCUUACUUUGUAUGUAGAGGCAAAGAAGAAAGAACAUCGUCUUCCUUGAAUGUUUCUUUUGGGAACAAGAACAAGAACUCCAUUAGAAAUUGUGCAAGAAAAAGCAAACGAGGAAUUGUAUAGUAAUAUAGUAAUACUACCAGCCCCAGAACCACCAAUAACAUCGCCACCAAAUUUGUCAUUACCAUCUCCACCACCAACUCCAUUAGUAAUACAAAUAUCAUCGCAAGAUAAAGAGAUUGAAUCUGUACUAUCGUUGCCAUUAUCUAUUGAUUCUUGCGCUUCCAUUAUUUCUUUUUAUGUAACGCUUUGUACUUUUUUCUUUAGCCGAGGGUCAAGCAAAAACAGCCCAUCUCGGUAUUUUGUUGUUGUUGUUCCAUGGAAGACUAAUGAUUCUAAUGAAUUUCUGCAGAUGUUAUUGGAGCAGACCCGUCUCAUGUUGGCGAUAGAUGUAUUAGAGUAACCAUCCACCAUUGCUUUUUUUAUGGGACGCGGCAGAGGCAUCCUCGUGUUAGAUUUGACAAAGUUCAUCUGUACUAUCGUUGCCAUUAUCUAUUGAUUCUUGUGCUUCCAUUAUUUCUUUUUAUGUUCCACUUUGUACUUUUUUCUUUAGCCGAGGAUCAAGCGAAAACAGCUCAUCUCGGUAUUUUGUUGUUGUUGUUCCAUGGAAGACUAAUGAUUCUAAUGAAUUUCUGCAGAUGUUAUUUUGCUCAGCAUGAUAAGACAAUGCUUAUUGAAGCAGACCCAUCUCAUGUUGGCGAUAGAUGUAUCAGAGUAACCAUCUACCAUUGCUUUCCUGAUGGGACGCGACAGAGGUAUCCUCGUGUUAGAUUUGGAAAAGUUCAUCUGUACAACAAUUACACUAGAAAUUGGGGUAUAUAUGCUAUUUGUGCCAGCGUAGAAUCACAGGUAAGCUUCUUUUUUCCUAGAUGCAGCUUAAUGCAUGUUAAAAAUUUGUAACCAAGUAUACUGUUUGUCCUUGUUUAUUCCAGAUAUAUUCUCCAUGCAACAUAUAUGAAGCUACACAGAAGAAAAAAGCUUUUAAGUACUACACAGAGAAGGUAAAUGCACUUGUCUUUUGAUUUGCACAGUAUCUUUGGUUUGUCCAGGUAAAGACUUUAUCUCUUAAUGAUGGUUCUCUAAAAUGAAACUCUCACAGGCAAGUUGUGAGAUGAUCACUGUGCCACCUACAAUACCCCGUCACAUUUUCACGAUAAACCAUACAUAGAUAGAACAAUAAUCUCAAGCAAAGGUUGUUGUAUAUGGUUACGAUUCACCUACUUGCUGCUUAUUGUACUUCAAAGCGCAGUAUUUUACAUGUCCUUUUCCGAUUAGAGAUAGUUUGACAGAAAAAUGAAUGUGAUUACAUGUUCUGGGAACCAAAACAGUGAGAAUAAGAUAGAUGACUUACCUUCUUGUCCUAUUAAUGCGAGUCAAGUCUAGCAAGAACGGUUGGAGGUCUACCACAAUUUCAUCCUCAUUGUUGUCUGAUCCAUCACAAUCUGAGACUUAGAUAUUAAAAUUUAAAAUAAUGCUAUUAUAACAUAACAAAAUGAAAUCACAAUAUGCAAAUGAUGAUUUACCUUCUUGUCCGCAAAGCCAAUCUCUAGCACACAACCUUGCUUCGGCAUUUGUAGGUAAAACUGAACUUUGAAAUUUUCCUUUAACGCGACCUCCAAUGCUAAAGGUAGAUUUUGAGGCUACAGUCGUAAUAGGUAUGCUCAAUAUAUCUCGUGCCAUCAAUGAGAGCUUGGGAUACCUUGCACUAUUUUCUUUCCAAUAUGCAAGUACAUCUAAAUUUGGAUUUGCUUUACGGUCAAGCUUAGACUCCUCAAGUACAAAUCCAAUUAAGUUUUUUUCCUACCAAACUCUGACUGAUUCUCAAACAUGUUGAACUCCUCAAGGACAUCCCCGAUUUCAUUGCUAGUUGUGGGCUCCAUGGACAAAGAAAUAGAGGUUGAAGGUAUCAAGUAUUCUUUGAAAAACAAUUCUAAAUGAUCUAAAACUUUUUCAACUUUGGCAUCGGCGGUCACGGGAUCUAUUUUGGAGAAGUAAAAUUUAACAAACUUCAUUUUGUAUCGGGGGUCGAGGACAAUGGCAAUUGAUAAGAUCAUACUGUACGACCUCCAAUAUUUUUUAAACUUCCUUAGCAUUAAUGUAGCCAUCCCAUUCAUAAUUGAGUCACUACCAUUUUUUUCUCCCUUUAACAACAUUUUAAUUUUUCACACAUUCAGCAAAUACAAAUUUGCGGUUGGAUAUUUGCUACCGAAAAAUGGUGUAGUAAUCUCAUAAAAUGGCUUAAAAAAUUUAGCAAUAACCUCCAUCCUUUUCCAUUCCUCCUCGGAAAGACUAUUUAAAAUCAACAUCAAGAAACUUAUAUUAAACAUAAGCUUGUUGGUAGAGGAGAGCACUAUCAAGCAUCUGGUAAGUGAAAUUCCAACGAGUAGUUACAUCUUGACGAAGCUUCUUUGAACACGGCAGCCCAUGAUUCUUAAUGCAUUCCAAAAAUUUCAAUAUUCUUCCUUUAGAAUGUUUAAUGUGCUUAACACCUUCUCUUACUUUUUCAAUGGCUUCAUCAACUUUCUCCAAACCCGCCCCUUCACUAUUAAAUUCAAGAUAUGGUUCCCACAACGAAUAUGAAAGACUUUCCAUCACAAACUAGUGAAUGCAUUAAAGAUAAAUGACCCUUUAAAUGAUCUACCACACCUUUAUUGCAACUAGCAUUAUCUAAAGUAAGAGUAAGAAUUUUCUUUUCAAUGACUCACUUCUUAAUGAACUUGAUUAGUAAAGGACCCAAAAUUGCGCCAGAUUAUGGGGGCAGAACAUGACGAAAAAUUAACACACUUUUUUGAAGAGUCCAAUUCAAAUCAACAUAAUGAACGGUUAAGCACAUGUAGUCAUUUGAUGCCACAGAAGUCCACAUGUCUAAAGUCAGAUAGACUCUACUAGGAAUCAUUGCAAGCUCACACUUUAAAAGUUCUUUUUUCCCUAUCGACUUGCCGUUGUACAAAUUAAAGGGGAAUACAGUAUCAUGUGUUCACUGGUUUGAUUUGAAAUUCUGAACAUUAAUUUGGUUUUUGUGCUACUACAAAAAAACUGUCUCUAUUUUUAACUUCUUCUCCAUUUCAUAAUUUCCAUCAAAAUUAAAUGAACCGAAACUAAAAGAUUAUUCCUUCUCUGCAUCUUUCUGCUUGAUACCAUCUAUGCUUUCUAUAGGAGGCAGAGUCUGCAAUUUCAAUAAUAAGAUCAAAUGUUACACACUCUGAACCAAGAUGAAAAGAACACACUUGGAGGACACAGAGAGAAAUGUACUAUUAGAAUGAAUAAUUCAUCAGAAUAAAAAAUUAUUCUAUGCAAUUCUAAAUACAACAACAACAACAUACCCGGUGUAUUCCCAUAAGUGGGGUCUGGGGAGGGUAAAGUGUACGCAGUCCAUACCGCUACCUCGGAUGAAGUAGAGAGGCCUAUGCAAUUCUAAAUACAGGAUAAAGAAUUCCCAGAAGAUUACAUGCAACUAAUACCAAGAUCUUUCCUAUAAAACACCCGAUUCAUCUUACAAUAGAAUGUUAUGUGUCCAUCAAAGCCUUCAAACUAUAACAGUCCUAUACAACAGCAACAACAUACUAAUAGAAAUCUCAUACGUGGGGUUUGGAGAGGGUAGAGUGUACGCACAGUUUACCACUACCUCGUGGAGUAAGAAGGACUGUUUCCAAUGGAUCCACAUCUCAAGGGCGGAAAAACCUUAACAGUGCUAUACGUAUCACAACUAGCAAGAUAUACAACGGACACUGUGUUUAGUCUUCAUAUCAACUAAACUACGGUUUAAUAUAAACGAGAUUUUUCCAAUUAACCAGAAAAUAGUCCAUCACUCUUUUGGUUGUUGCUAUAUGAAGUGCCAGCAAAAAAUGUUUUCCUGUUAUGCAGAAUCAUUUAUUGAAAUGAUUACUUUGUGAUCUAACAACUGGAAUAGGUCACCAUAUCCAUUCUGCUUUCAGUUCAUAAUUAGUCAUUUGCUGAAGUCUCAAAAAAGACCAUAUACAUUUUUUUCCUUCUUUCUUUUAAAACUAAAAGUCAUAAUCCAAAAACUUAAAAAAGAAAUAUAGGAACAAAACAACACGUCUAGUGCGAUCCCACAAUUGGGGUCUGGGGAGGGUAGAGUGUACACAACCCAUACGCCCACUGUAUGUGAAGUAGAGGGGCUGUUUCAGAUACACCGUCGGCUCAAGAAAAGCAUUUUCAAAACCAAGUUUGGAAAAUACAAGUGUGAAGAAGCUAUGAUGAAAAUAUGUGAAGAAGCUAUGAUGAAAAUACUGAGGAAAAUGAGCGUGUUUAAAGCAAAAAUAGUGGGAUAACCAAAAACAAUUACUAGUAUAACAUUAAUAGGUAUAAGCAACUUCAGGAACAAUACAAAGAAAACAAAGGGCAUCCCGGUGCACUAAAGCUCCUGCUAUGCAUGCGGUCCGGGGAAGGGCUUAGACCACAAGGGUCCAACUAUUUUUGCUUUACAUAGGUAUAUUGAUCAUUCCUGUAACUUUUCUUCACAUAUUCACCAGACCUUACCCAACCUCCAAAUAAAAUCUUCUUCUUCCUCUACUGGAGGAUACUUCUUUUUUAGAGAAUGAUCUUACGGAGAUUUCCAAAUUAAUUUACAUUAUCAAACUAGGAAUGAUAAUGUGAACUAUUUAAAUUACAUAAUCAUAAUUAAAUUACAUUAUCAAAUUAAGUUAAUUGUGGACUAUUUUAACAUUUUCAAGAGAAAAAAUUGAUAUCCAUGCUAUAAACCCCCAGUCCUAUGUAUAUCAAUGUAACGUGUUCCAGUGAUUCUUUACAUUGUAUAUUUGUUUGUUCCCCUCUCGGGCACUAACAGAGCUAAGCAAUUCAAUCUUUCAAAAAUUAUAAAUUCAUGUUAUGUCGCAAAGCAGAAAAUUUCUCCAAGAAACGGUGUGUUCCCUUACUUCUUCCAUAGUUCUUAGUCGUUAAGAUUCCUGUGCAUGUAUAACGCGUCAAAAGGUCAUUUUUUUUCCUUUUUUAUUUGGGUUUUACCUUCUUCAAUUAUUAAAAUUAAUCGUUUGUUACUCUGUAGGAUGUCUCGCACCGUAUUGGGGCGGGAUAGAUGAAGUGGAAACUCGCGUCGGGGGUGCUGUGCGAUAAGAAGGUGCCGCCCAAGCUUAAAGGCAAAUUCUACAGGGUGGUAGUCCGUCCGGCCUUGCUGUAUGGAGCGGAGUGUUGGCCAGUUAAGAACUCCCACAUCCAAAAAAUGAAGGUGGCAGAAAUGCGGAUGUUGCGCUGGAUGUGUGGACUGACUAGAGGGGAUAGAGUUCGGAAUGAGACUAUCCGGAAGAAGGUUGGUGUGACUUCAGUGGAGUGCAAGAUGCGGGAAGCACGAUUGAGAUGGUUCGGAUACGUGAAGAGGAGGAGCAUGGAUGCCCCGGUCCGUAGGUGUGAGAGGCUAGCGUUGGAUGGUUUUAGACGGGGUAGGGGUAGACCGAAGAAGUACUGGGGUGAGGUGAUUAGGCGGGACAUGGAACAGUUACAGCUCACCGAGGACAUGACCCUAGAUAGGAAGAUCUGGAAGACGCGAAUUACGGCAGAGGAUUAGGGCCAGUUUGGAUCGCUAGGGUAGGGAAUUACUUGGUGGGGGUUUCAUUCCUGUUAUGAUUCCGUGUUCCGUGUUCCAUGUUUUAUUAUGAAUCUGUGUGCUUUCCUCUGCUUUCCUCUGUUUUAUAAUACUUAUGGGUGCCGUAUGUAUGUUAUGUAAUCUGCUUCUGUGCUUUACUAUGUGUUUGUGUGGUAUCUCGUGCCUUGAGUCGGGGGUCUUUCGGAAACAGCCUUUCUACUUCAUCAGAGGUAGAGGUAUGGACUGCGUACAUCUUACCCCCCAGACCCCACUAGGUGGGAAUACACUGGGUUUGUUGUUGUUGUACUCUGUAGGAUAAUUGCUAAGAUCAAGCAAUCUUCAUAAUACUCUUGCAUUUCUUUUGUGGACUAAAAGUGAUAACUUGUUGAUAAGCCUUUAUGGAAUUUAUUCUGUUUCUUCUCUUUUUUCCUAAAUAUUUCUGUACACUGUGUUUCUUAAUUCCUAUGUGUGUCAUUGUAUCUCCCAUGGUUUCUUUUCCAGGUAUUAUUACAACGUGGUGGAAUGCCAUUCGGGGGCUAGUUUCCAAAUUAAUUACAUUAUCAAACAUGAUUUCCAUUAAGUACUUCUAGUGUUUAAUGAUUAAUGGUAAAAGGAUGGUCAAACAAGACGGAACAACAAUCAAAGAAUAAAGCAGAUAUGAGGAGAAACCUGCUAACAGGCCUUUUUUUAUGAUCAAUGAAUAUUUACAAGUUACAACAUAUAAGACACCACAUUCUAGGCUUAGACCUCCAUGACUAUAACUAGAAUUAUUUGACUAUAUAUCAAUAAAAAUUUAAGUUACUAUUAAAGUUGAUUGUUCAGAUGUUAAUACGUAGUGAUUCGAGAAUCUACAUGGUUGUUUUGACUUUUAAUGGGGCCAUAAAACUCUAACUAAGUAAGCUCUUACAAAGAGUGAGAUCAAGUCACUUUUUCCAAAUAUCAUUUUGGCUAAAGGAAAAAAGUUAUUCAUACUAUCAUGUCAAACUGCAUUAUCAUCAUGAUAUGCUCCCAUUAUUCACAAAAAGGGAUGAGCGAUAUUUCGAUUUGGAAUAGUGUCACCAUAAAAUCAUCAUACGCCUUGAUAAUAUUUUUCUUGCAAUUUGUUACCAACAUUCAGGAAGUUCACGCAUGGUUAGAUUUCUUUAUAGUGCAGAGUAUAGUGUCAAUAUUGACUAUUCCUAUGCCCAUGCUAGUGGCAUUCAUUCAACCUAGAUAUUCUUUUUGUUCUCGGACAUCACAUACCCGACGAAUUCUUCAACUUUUUGUUGCCUUACGAAAGAGGUCGGGUUAUAAUAAUAGAAGAUUAAAAAGAAUAUUAAUAUUAUGAAGUUUUGCAGGACCACGAAAUUAAGCUGCUUAUUAGAAGGACGAAAUAUAAGGGACAAUCAUGAAAUACUACAAAAUGCAUCACUGGCCUCAACAACAACAACAACAUGCCCAGUGAAUUCCCACCUAGUGGGGUCUGGGGAGGGUAAAAUGUACAUAGUCCAUACCAAUUCCUCCGAAGAAGUAGAGAGGCUGUUUCCCAUAGACCCCCGACUCAAGACACAGAGUCAGUAAAUAAGGUCGUAAAAAGGCAUGCGACAAGAUGAAAUAACAGAAAUAAUGUGGAUAAUGAGGGAACAGAGUUACCAGGACGGACUAUUCCACUAGGCAAAAUAAGCGUUAGUCUCCUGUUAUAUUCAGGAGGCACUAUUAUCCUCAGAAGUAGAGUCAAUUCGACAAAUGAUACAUUUCACAGAAGGUCCAUUACCAGUAUAUUCUAAACUGGGUUUAGCCGCUGCAUAAAUAGACCAACUAGACAUUGACAAGGGAAUCAUUUUGUCCCAUCAUCAAUUAAAAAAGAAUUGUUUUAUGAUUCAAUAUUCCUCUUCCACAAGUACUAGUAAGGCAGUUUGAUGCAUUCAUACAGCUACUAUGCAACGAUAAACCGAACUAGAAAAAUUAUCAAGUCAUUAUUGCCUAAAAAAUGGAUAUAGAAAUAUCAAACGAUAUAAUGUAAAUUAAAACAGACAUUCCGACAAAAUCUAUGAUUAAUUCCAUAGAUGCAGUUUAAAGUGAAUUCGAAUCAACAAGAAGCUCAACUUCAAACAAAAGAGCAGCACCCAGUAAUAUUGGUUACUCAAAACAACUAAUAAAAGAAGAGCAUAUGAAUGCUCGCUGCUCAGUGAUUUCUUAUGCACUUCACAGAAAACUUGAACUAGAUAAAAGAAAUAUUAGCUCCCGAUUUCAUCCACUCAAUCUUAUAAUACAUGACAUGCAUGAGGGGUAAAGAUGAUAUACCUCGAUUGAUUUUUGCACAGAACUUUCCACUUCAAAUUCAACUAAUCCAAAACAAAAUCCCCUGUUACUUCUAAAUAUAUAUUUGUUUAGCUAGAAAAAAUGUUUCAAUAAAUAAUAUAUACGCAUUUAGCUACAAAAAAGUGUCAACGUUGGUCCCGUCUUAGCACGGACCAUCACUACCUAGUCUAGAAUCAAAAUACAAGUAACGACAGGAAAUGAUACAAUCUAUCCAAGCGUUGAAUUCAUUAGAACAAUACAGUACGAUACAAUACAAUAAGAUACAUUAUGAAACAAUAUGCAACAAUCAUCCAAACAGAUUGUAAAUCGUAAAACAUCUGAGCUUAUUAGGUGACAAGUCAAAUAGGAGUCCAUCGAAAAUUUUGAAAAAGUAAAAGUACAAAAACAAAAGGACAGAGAGAGGAGAAUGGCCACAAAUAUAGAUUCUCACUCACGUGCUCUCAAUAUAGAUUCUUCAAAUUAAUAAUUCUUUACUGUGAACAAUUUAAUGUAAUUCACACACUAUAAUUCCCAGAAUCCAAUUCAUUGCAUAAUAAACCAGCUUUGAAGCAUACACUGAGUUUUUAGAUCUCAAAACCCGGUGUGAUUAUAACUUUUUCCUGUUCUUAAAUUAGACAAAAACACAUAGAGCAGCGGCAGAUAUUUAAACAAUACACACUCAAAUCAAAAGCUAAUACAUGAAUGCAAUCAAUCAAUCAAGUAAGCAGCAAUACCCAGCUGGGAUUCACCAUAUUUUACUAUUUAUCACAUUGACAGUCAACUUAAGGAACUUAAAACCGUCUAAGCACGGUUCACUAGUGUUGAUCAAUCAAGAGGGUUGCCACCACUCCUCAAGUUUAUCAAUUGUCUAAUACACUUUUGCAUUUUCUCCCACACUCCUCUUUCUUCUUAAGGUGAGAUAAAGAGCCAGGCAUGGUGGGGUAGCAACAGCCACUCAACUAAUCCAAUGAGAUAACUGAAAGAAGCAAGCAACGAAUCUUAUUGUGGAAAGCCUAUUCCUAUUCUAGAAAUCCAGCAAAUUAUCAAUCAAAGUACUUGAAUGGCUUAACUGGCAAACAAACAUCUGCAUUGACGUUUCCAUGUUUCCUUAACAACAUCAACAAUCUAGUCACAAAUUAGUAGGAACAGCACAUAAAGCGAAAUAAAACCGAAUGCAUCACAACACAAUCCUCCUAGACUGGUACCACAAACAAAGAUGGAUCGAUAGAGCCUCAAUGUACUCACGAGUCCUUAGCAACAAAGCUUAGUCAUUUAGUACAAAAAUAAUCUUUUUAACAAAUUCCAAAUGUGCAUAUGAUCAAAUGAGGUAUACCAGUUCUCAUUGGUACACAUAACCCACGACUUCCUACACGAAAACAUUACUCCUUCCGUUUCAAUCUGUUUGUCCUACUUUUCUUUUUAGUCCAUUUUAAAAAAUGUCUCUUUCCUUUUUUUACAACUCUUUAAUUUCAAUACCAGUAGAUUUAAAAGGACACGAUUAGAAGUCAUUUCAGUACAUUUGACAUAUCUUUCGUUUUAGAUAUGUUUCAUGCAAUAAUAUUUUCACAUGACAAGAAUGAUAUAAUGCCCAAAGGCAAAAGGAAGAUUAAUCUAAAAGAAGAAAUUAACAUCCUUUCCCCUGAAAGAAAUUAUGGUUUAAAAAUGAGGGAACAGAGGAGCAAAAAGCUUCAAAAGGCUUUAAACAUGCCUCUAACCCACAACACAGUAGAUAUGACAGAGCUUACCACAUUUCCACAAGAAGAGUACAUAGAGAAUAAAGCACAUUCUAGUAAAUAUAAAUCAACUGCUUUAUCUUCUGGAAGCGUUGAAGUAAAGCUUAGAUCAAAGUCAAUCAGCACCAGCUGAUUGGAAGCAUCACUGGCCUCAUGAUCACUAAUAACGAAAAACUGAUCUAUAACUUACUCUCAGAAACUUUGAUGUAUCACAAACGAUGUCAUACAAACUCAAGGAAACUAAGGACUGAGUCACAGAGAAUAUGCACAGUGAGCACAUGCGUAAGCUCUCAUUUGAAUAAGAAUUUUUGGUUUAUGAGAGAUCUAUGGUAGGAAUCGCAUCCUUUCUGAACAAAGGAUAAUUCUAUGAGAUAAAAAUAUGUCAAAGCGUGCUUAAAUAGAUCAUCAUGCUAUACUUCGUUGAAUGAUGAAGUUUGACAACCCAAGCCAGUAGCACUUGUACUUUGUGGAGUAGAGAGGCAUAAUAGUGAAGGAACAAAUCUAACAAAUGGAAGCACCAAAAGAAUUGGCAUGAUUUAGUCGGUAGAUAUUUUUAUAAUGCAGAGUUGCAGACUACAGUGUCAAUCUCAUUUUUGUAUCCUACAAUUAUUUGUAGCUACAGAUGUACAGUCAAGCAUAAUGAAACUUGUGUACUUAUACAUCAUCUAUACCACAAAGUUUUCAAUUUUAUAGCUAAACAUAGGUCAGAUGUGGCACAUUUUGUCUUAAAGAUAUGCACUAUUUAUUGGAUUGCUGCAAUUUCAAAGGGGCAUUCGAUCAAACAGGUAAAUGAAAUAGAAGAAAGGCCAGAUCAUCCACCCUUGCUAGGUAAACAUAUGACAUAACACAACUACAACAAUAUACACAGUGUAAUCCCACAAGUGAGGUAUGGAAAGGAUAGAGUGCACACAGACCUUACCGGCUUACGCCUACCUUGUUCACAGUUAUAGAAAGAUUGUUUUCUUUAGACCCUAGGCUCAAGGAAUAUCACAUAACAACAACAACAACAACAACAUUACCCAAUGUAACCCCACAAGUAGAAUCCAGAGAGGUAGAGUGUGUAUGUUUACACAGCUAGAGUAUACACGGACCUUACCCCAACCUUGUGCAGACAGAGAGACUAUUUCCGAUAUACCCUUAGCUCACGAAAUAUCAUCGCACAACAACAAAAUAUCCAGUGUAAUCCCACAAGUGGGGUCCAGAAAGGUAACCUUGUGCAGACAAAGAGACUAUUUCCGAUAGACCCUCAGCUCAAGGAACAUCAUAACACAACAACAAAAUAUCUUGUGUAAUCCCACUAGUGGGGUCCAGAAAGGAUAGAGUGUACGCAAAAUGUACCCCGAUCUUGUGCAUAGUUAGAGAGGCUAUUUCCGAUGGGCCCAUUGGAGAAAUUAUAUAAUAACACACCUUAACUUACCAUUAUUACCUAAAAUACCAACCUAUUAAAAUAAUUACAAAUAUCCCGGAUUUUAAUUUAUAUCGCGAUGCAUUACUUGGGGUCACGAUACAUCAUGGGACCUGCUGAAUAAUGUAUCGUAACCCUAAGUAAUGUAUCGCAACACCAGCUAGGGAAUGUAUCACGACCGUAAGUAAUGUAUCUGGGCAGUUCAAAAUCGUGAUUAUAUGUAAUUUUGAAAAGAGUGGGGAUAGAGUGUAAUUAGAUACUAAAAAGUUGAGAUUUAUGAAAAUUUCCCAUUAAUAAAUCUCCUGAUAGUACUAAUGUGUUUUUUUUUUUGGUUUUCCACCCGGUAUCCGAUAUCCACAUUGGAGCUCCGACUAAUUCGGAUCACGCACUGCAGGUUCCAUUUUGGGGGUGACGCUCUCAACAGUAUUUUCACUAUAACCAGUGCUCGAACCCGAGACCGUCUCAACAGUAUUUUCACUAUAACCCGUGCUCGAACCCGAAACCUCUGAUCAAGGGUGAAGUAGUUCCACCACUAUACCACAACCCAUGUUGGCAUUACUAAUGUUGUUCAAUACAUCAAACAACAACUUAAACUUAUAUUACCACAUAAACACCAAUAAAAUCAUCAACAUAAAUUCAUCCAAAAAUAUGUCCAUAUUAUAUUCCAAUAAUAAGUAAGAACAAAAUUAAGCACAAAUUAGGGUUUUUUCUAAAAAUAUAAGAGAAAUUAGGAGUUACCAGAUCAGGUUUGUAGAAAUUGUGGACAAUGGAGGCACCAGAUAGUAGAGAAACAACAACAACUAAACUUGACCAAGCCAUUGAUGGUGUUCCUGUUGGCGGCUUCCCUCCACCAAAUUUUCUCUGCAUUUUUCGGGGGGUUUAUCUACCAAAGUGUUGUAAUAAUUGGCUAUCAAGAUGAAGAAAAUAUGAGAUGCUGCAAUAAUGAAGUUUGAGUUGGGCGCAACUACACUGUGUGUUAGAGUUUGUUUUUAAUCGGUUGAUGCGGUGGUUCGGCACAGAGGUUGGGGUUCGAUUCCACCGCGAAGGAGAAAAUUCUAUGACUAGUUCAUUACUUCGUGUGCUGAAA